UUCCACAUCCCCCCAGGCUACAAAUACCGGUCAAAUUCCAGCACUCUUCAUCCAUCUCGAGCCACCUACUAGCUAGUCAUGGCAUCCUCCAAGAGCAGCCUUGCAAUGUUCGCACUGGUCAUAGUCAUGGCCGUGGUGGCCGGCGUCUCGGCGCAGAACACCCCGCAGGACUUCGUCAACCUGCACAACCGCGCCCGCGCGGCGGACGGCGUCGGCCCUGUGACGUGGGACAACAGCGUGGCCAGGUUCGCGCAGGACUACGCGAACAAGCGCGCCGCCGACUGCCGGCUGCAGCACUCCGGCGGGCCGUUCGGCGAGAACAUCUUCUGGGGGUCCGGGCAGUCGUGGACGGCCGCGAACGCCGUGAAGUCGUGGGUGGACGAGAAGCGGAACUACCACCUCAACAGCAACACCUGCGAUGCCGGCAAGGUGUGCGGGCACUACACGCAGGUGGUGUGGCGCAAGUCGACCCGCAUCGGCUGCGCGCGCGUGGUCUGCGCCGGGAACCGGGGCGUCUUCAUCACCUGCAACUACAACCCUCCGGGCAACUUCAACGGCGAGCGCCCGUUCCUCACCCUUGACGCCGAAGCCAAGUAGUACAUACGUGCGUGUGUGUUUUUUUUGCGGGUGACGUGCGUGUGUUUAUCUGUGUGUAUUUUGAAUAUUUACGUCUAUUCUUAUGUUACGUACAGUACGUACGUAAAUAAGCCCACAUUCCGGCCUGCAUGUAUCCAUGCGGCUCUGUGGAGCGUGUAAAUGUAACCAUAUAUACCUCCACAUGCAAAUGUCUUUCCUUUUGUUUUCUUGUUCAAAUCUGGGAGCUAGCCAAAUAAAUGACGAUAACAAUAAUAUUGUGAACCCCUGAAAAAAGAAAUAAUUUGAUAUACUUACUGGACGAUACUUUCAAACGAAAUUUGAAUUUGUUUUUAAGGAUAUCCCCUACAGUAAGCGAUAAGGUUGUAUUUGAUUCUGAGAAUAAGAAAAGCAUAGGAAAAAAAUGUUUUCAAAGAUAAUAAACCCAGUGCACCCUUAUAUUUAUUAAGUAAGAUUGGGUUUGAUUACGAAAAUGUCAAGGUAUAACGAAGACAAAGAUCUGGGGACUUGAACACGUUACUAGCAGAGAAAUGGCACUCUCUUGUGCACCAUUACGCCAAGACCUCGCCAAUGAAACAAACAGAAAGGCACAAGUUUGUAUACGUUAAUGACUUAAAUUCUAAAUAUAUUUGUUAUCAAUGACUUAAAUUCUGAUUAAUCAGGAAAAAUAAUGGGCUGGUGUGCUUCAUAGUUUGGCAUGGGUUCUUACUGCGGCUUUGCUAGAGUACAAACUAUAUUGCAGACAUUAAGAUCCACAUGGGGAUUGGAGUGCAUCUAGGCUGCAUAGUGUUCCCUCUCAGUCAGCUUGUUGUUCGUCACAGGGAGGAGCGGUGACACGACAUGGGUAGGUCUAUGGUGCAGAACGUGGUCUGUAUAUUUUGCAGGGAAUAUAUUUAUUUCAUGUUCAUGUUGUUUUCCUUGGUGUACUCCAUAUAUUAAAUGCUCUUUGAAUUUUCCACAGCUCACUUAAAAGCUUAUCCAUGCAACAUGAUGUUCACUGAAAGUUCGUUUUCUGUGUCGGGGGAAGGAAGAAACUCGAAUACGCUGUCAUGCACAUGAAUCAUUUGAUCCUCCAGCAGGCAGCAGCCUUCGUUGUCUUGACUCCAAACAAAAGCUGAUUAGCCGCCGGGACAACAUGUCAGAAUUUGAAUAACUUGUGUAUUGACCCGGCUCCUCUAUCAUAGCUGUCAAAUGACUAUUAUUGAAGCAUGAUGAUCCGAUCGGUUGCCUUUAGCUAGUCAGAUGUCCUUAUCCUAGUUGUAUGAUAAUUCCUCCGUUCCGAAUUAUUUGUCGCAUAAAUAGAUAGAAAUGGAUAUAUCCAGAAUUAAAAAUAGGUCUAUAUACAUCUAUUACUGCGACAAAUAAUUGCGGAUGGCGGGAGUAUAUGUGAAAGUUUUGGUUGCGCCACCAUACCAGUGUGUCCUUUAUCCUCUCCUCACCGUCCAUUCUUUCAUCAAAUUCGUGAAAGAAAACUUCUCUUUUUUGGUUCUUCCAAAUAAAGAACAUGUAAAUUUGAAACUUUGCAGAUCAACAUCACACAAGUACUGCCAUGUGGAGAAUAGUUUUCGGAUUUUUUGACGCAAGAUAAAUUUUUUAAAAUGAUACAAUUCAUUCUAAAAUUUGAAAUUUGACAAAUUUAUGUUUCAUCCAACAAAAUCGGAAACAUUUCAUACAGUGAGUGACACUUGUAUAUAGUUGAUCCGCAAAGUUUCAAGGUCAAACAGUCUCUUGUUUGGAAGAAACAAAAAAUAGAAACUUCUAUAUAAGGAUAGCACGAAUCUUGAUGCAAACUGACUGGUCUAGAUAGAGUACAUUGGCUGAACUAAUUUCUUUUAGAUUUCUAUAUUUUACACAUCUUAGAAUUAUUAGCCUAUUUUAUUUCUUGAAUUGACAUGUAUUUAUGUGUAUUAGGGCCUGAUAAUUCCUUGAAAUUUUUGUUUGUAUGUAGGAAUACACCCUCAAAAAACUUCCUUUUGCCUAAAGAAAAUUUACGCAUGGGUGAUUUUUCCCAUUUUUUCUUUACAGAGUAUUCAUGUUUGGUUUGGGGCGGUGAGGUGAGGGAGUGUGGGAAUAAUGUUCUCCCAACCCUUUUCCUGUUCCGUUGGCAUGCUUAUCAUCACCGGUGGAAGGCGUGCAGAGCCGUGUCUCUAGCGCGUCUUCCGGAAUCCUAUUGGUUCGGGUUUUUGGUGGUUCUGUCUGGAUACAGCCGGUAUUGGUAGUCUAGGGAGUUCCUACAUGCCCUUAUCUAGUGAAAGUAUGCAAAAUUGAACCUAUGAACCCUAGGUUUUGUUUUCAAUCAUUAAAACUUCAUUUUACUCACUUUUGCAUACUUUUACUUUGUUCAUUUUAUUUAUUUUGAAAGCACAUAAACACUUAUAUCAUCGAAAUUAUUAAUCUCUUCAUCAAACUAGUGCACUUGCUAUAAGGGAACAAACUACACAAUAAAUUUUUAUCGCUACAAUCAUGACCAAGAUCACUAUGACGAUGACAGGAUGAAUCCAAUCUCACCAGCAAAAACACAACAAAGAGGAAGAAGAUGUGGGCAAUGACUCGCCAAUUCCGAUAGCUAGGUCGUACCUCCUAGCUGUGAGAAUAUCUUCAUCGAUCGAGAUUCGGUGUAGAUGACCCCUCAGCGGUAUCGAUGCGUACCAAAUUAGAGGUUUGGCAACACUUCGUUGUCCAGGAAAAGAUGGUCAAGAGGACUAGAGGGAGGAGCAGCCUAGCGGCUUAUCGGUCACACAGUGGGAAAGAGAAAUUUUGCGCAGAAGGGUGCAGUUGUCAUGACUUCACUAGUAGAAAAUAGGCCUUUCGUCUGGUCCAUUAGUCCCAGUCAGGUUUUGGCCCUGGACUAAUGGUACAAUUAGUCUCGGUUCCAACGGCUAGGAUUUAGUCCCGGUUCAUUUUUUACCUAUAGUCCCGGGACUAAAGGGGUGGUGGCAGGCUGGCGUCAGGCUGGGUCCACCACGAGCCCCUUUAGUCCCGGUUUGUAUCACAAACCGGGACUAGAGGUAGACCUCUAGUCCUGGUUUUUAUAACCAACCGGGACUAAAGAUGUCCCUGUAUAAACCCUUCGUCCAGCCCAAGCCCAUUAUCUGCUUUCUCCUUUCCCCUCUCUGCUAUUCCCCUUAGCUCGAGCUCAUCCUCCAUUUUUGCCAAGAUUUGUCAAUAUUUGAGGCACCCCAUCUCUCCAAGUGUUCACAAAGGUUAGCAACUUUGUCCUUUCAUCUCUCAUUGCUAGAUUAGCUCGUGCAAUGCUCUAUAAGUAUAGUGAUUUGUGGGUUUUAGUUUGGGAGUAAUUAUGUGGGAGUUUAUUUGAUUUAUAUGCAAUUUGAGCUCAAAUUAACUUCUUAGUUUGCAUAUGUGUAGGUGUGGUUUACUUAGUGCCUUCCCGUCCCCGUCCUAACCACCGUUGAUCGCGCACACCGUCCCGUCGCCGGCACCACCUUGGUGAGCCUCUUGUUCUUAUCCUUUUUAUAAAAAAAAUCUUAUUUGUAUGAUUUAGAUAGUUACUUGUAUAAUUUUCUUACUUGUAUGAUUGUUUGUUAUACAUAGUGACAUGGUCUUGAUAUCCGUCCCUGUCGGCCCUCGUCCGGUUUAUGAUUUGGAUGUGGUAUUCUCUUUUAUAACUAUUUGUUGCAUUUCGCGUUUAUGACAAUGAUGCCCAUCAAGUUGACAUAGAUAUUUUUAUCUAGGAGGUAUGUGAACCGGAAAUUGCAACCGACCCUCCUGUUGAGAAGUUAAACUUAGUUGAAAAAGAAAAAGUGUAUUUGAAACAAAAAUUGAAAAGAAUUGAAGAAGAGAAGAUGAAAUUGGAGUUGUAUGUUGCCGAUGUCAUCGAUGAUCACAAGAUCAAGAUGGAUGCAAAUGCGCUUGAAGAUUAGAAAGAUUAGAAAAUAUGCCUUUAAUAAAGAGGCUUGGUAUCACUAUGAUGUUGGAUCAAUUGUUACCUUAGUUGCAAUCUUGAUCGCAUUUGUUGUUGCAUUUAGAUGCUUUAGCUUUGUUUUAUGGGAAUAAGUGUGUAUGAACUUGUAUUUUUCGGUGUUGUGUAAUGAAGAUGAGCCGGCAAUGGAUGUACGAUGACUGACGCUCUCCCCAGUUCAUUGAUGGCGUGUAUAGUUUUCUAUGUGCAGCUGAGGCAAACAAGCGGGAUGGUUUUAUGUGUUGUCCAUGUGUUGUCUGUAAGAAUGAUAACAAUUACUCUAGCUCAAGAGUCAUUCACAUCCACUUGUUUACGUCCGGCUAUAAUUGUUGGACCAAGCACGGAGAAAGAGGGAUUCUAAUGGAAGAGAAUGAAGAAGAAGAGGAUGAUGACAGCUAUCCUGGGUUCCCUAAAUACGAUGGUAAUACAAUGGGGAAAGAAGCUGAAGAAGAGGCAUCAGAUGAGCCCGCUGAUGAUCUUGGUCGGGCCAUUGCUGAUGCAAAGAGAAUCUGCGCAAGUGAAAAGGAGAGUUGAAGUUGCAGCGCAUGUUAGAGGAUCACAAGAAAUUGUUGUACCCAAAUUGCGAAGAUGACAAGAAAAAACUGGGUACCACACUGGAAUUACUGCAAUGGAAGGCAGAGAAUGGUGUAUCUGAUAAGGGAUUUGAAAAGUUGCUGAAAAUGUUAAAGAAUAUGCUUCCAAAGGACAACGAAUUGCCCGACAGUACGUAUGAAGCAAAGAAGGUUGUCUGCCCUCUAGGAUUAGAGGUACAAAAGAUACAUGCAUGUCCUAAUGACUGCAUCCUCUAUCGCGGUGAGGAGUACGAGAAUUUGAAUGCAUGCUCGGUAUGCGGUGCAUUGCGCUAUAAGAUCAGCUGCGAUGACCCUGGUGAUGUUGAGGGCGAGCGCCCCAGGAAGAGGAUUCCUGCCAAGGUGAUGUGGUAUGCUCCAAUAAUACCAUGGUUGAAACAUUUAUUCCAAAACAAAGAGCAUCCCAAGUUGAUGCGAUGGCACAAAAAAGACCGUAAGAAAGACGGGAAGUUGAGAGUACCCGUUGAUGGGUCGCAAUGGAGAAAAAUCGAGAGAAAGUAGCCGGACUUUGCAGGUGGUGCAAGGAACUUUUGGUUUGAUUUAAGUGCAUAUGGCAUUAAUCCUUUUGGGGAGCAGAGCAACAAUCAUAGCACCUGGCCUGUGACUCUAUGUAUCUAUAACCUUCCUCAAUCGUUGUGCAUGAAGCGGAAGUUCAUUAUCAUACCAGUGCUCAUCCAAGGCCCCAAGCAACCCGGCAACGACAUUGAUGUGUACCUAAGGCCAUUAGUUGAAGAACUUUUACAGUUGUGGGAUAAAAAUGGUGUAUGUGUGUGGGGUGAGCACAAACGGCGCGCAGGAAUUUGACCUACGAGCGUUGCUGUUUGUAACCAUCAAUGAUUGGCCUGCUCUCAGUAACCUUUGAGGACAAACAAACAAGGGAUACCACGCAUGCAUGCACUAUUUAGAUGAUACCCAAAGUAUAUAUUCGGGUAAAUGUAAGAAGAAUGUGUACCUGGGACAUCGUCGAUUUCUUCCGAUCAAGUUUCUCUUAAGAAAGAAAGGCAAGCAUUUCAAAGGUGAGGCAGAUCACGGGAAGAAGCUUGAGCACCGUACUGGUGAUCAUAUACUUGAUAUGGUCAAGGAUUUAAAAGUAAUCUUUGGAAAGGGUCCUGGCGGACAAUCUAUUCCGAAUGACGCUGACGGACACGCACUCAUGUGGAAGAAGAAAUCUAUAUUUUGGGACCUACCCUAUUGGAGAGUCCUAGAGGCCCACUCUGCAAUCGACGUGAUGCACGUGACGAAGAAUCUUUGCGUGAAGCUGCUAAGCUUCUUGGGCAUGUAUGGGAAGACAAAAGAUACACCGGAGGCACGGGAGGACCAGCAACGUAUGCAUGGAAAAGACGGCAUGCAUCCAAAGCAGUAUCAAGGUCCUGCCAGCUACGCUCUUACCAAAGUAGAGAAGGAAAUCUUCUUUGAAUGCCUGCUCAGUAUGAAGGUCCUGUCUGGCUACUCGUCGAAUAUAAAGGGUGUCGGUGGAAAACGACACCUAUGGGAUCACUGGAAUCCCUUCUACGGUUGGCGGGCAUGGGGUUGUGCAAAGAGCAGGUCUAGAAGCCAGCACAAAGAUCGUUUACCCAGGUUCAGGCCGCGAGGAUGCGUAAUACCCUAGUCCUGCUUUGGUGUAUAUUUCAGUGUUCUUGAGCUCUCGAACUAGCUGUGGUGCGUGCGUAGUCCAAAAGAUCUGAAUCCUUCUCCCGUACGCCUCGAGCCUCCUUUUAUAGUCAAAAGGGGUUGCCAAAGUGACACACAGGAGGUGGAAAGGUAUACAGUGGUUAAGUCUAUCCUCUGGCACCAUUGGAAAAACACAUUUAAUGCGCUGCCAACGUGCCCUUCUUGCUUUAUCGGGGAUGGCUGGCAGCUCGUCCCAGCUGUCGCCGCCUCGCCUGGCUCCGACGCGCGUCCGAGCUGAUGAGGCGUUGUAGUGCCACAUUGGCUGGCUGCUGGGCUGGCGCGGUGGCAGAGUCUUCACGAAGAUCUGUAUGCCACCACAUAGGUGCUUGCUGAGUUGGCCUGGAGGCCGCGCGUCGCCACGCAGGUGCCUGCCCAGCUGUUUGGGCUGGCAGCUGUAUGGGAACAUCGGUGGAGUCUUGGCAGACGUGGGCCUGGCUGUGGCCCCGCAGGUGUCCUCGGCAAGGGUCUUGCCGGGGCCCCAGCAAGGGCCUUGCCGUGGCAUCGCGGUCGUCCCCGGCAAGGAUCUUGCCGGGGGUCUCGUGGUUUCCUCGGCAAGGAUCUUGCCGAGGAUCGUCGUCUUCUGGUCCUCAUCUGAUCUUGUGUGCUUAUGAUCUUCACAAAGAUCCGCAUGCCACCAUGGAGGUGCCUCCCGAGCCUUGGUUCCAAUGAGGUUGAUGGUGUUGGAACCCUUGGGCUCAAGGGUGGCGCGCUCUGCUGGCGUUGGGCAAGUUGCUCCGGCAAGGCUCUUGCCGGGGCUGUUGAGGCCGUCCCGGCAAAGGGCUUGCCGGGGGAGUCCACCUCGCCCUUCUGCUCUUUGUGUUUCCGUCUUGGCGUUGAUCUAGUCAUCUUGUGCCUUUGCUUCUUCUGCCCCGCCAAGCGUGGUCAGGGGCGUGGGGUUGCGACUACCCGCGCACAAGUAAAGGGGUGCAAAAAAAGAACCCCUACUUUUGUACACCGACAGGAGCCCCCGGGCCUGGGCCACAUAUAAGCGCGGAGCGUUAUUGGGCCAGGCCCAGAACGGUGCGCGGGCGCGCGGGCGGUGGAGUUUUUACCGCAGUAACUCCCUUGCUUGCUUGCGCUUCCCCACGACCCGCAUUGAAUGCGUGACGUGGAGGGUCGUGUGUGACGUUGGGGUCAUGCGUGGGGCGGUUCCUACCCUCAUGCGUCACAUCGCGGUAAAGAGGCGGCUCGCGCCUUCCCCAUAAAAAGAGGAAAACGCAGGGGCGCGGCUCAUUUACUGAGUGGACUCGAGUCGUGGCCUUCAAGGCGCCCGUGCCCUACGAUCACGGGGUGGAAAACGGUCACCUCACUCAUCCCCUCGAUUUCUUCUUGCUCGCCACAUGUCCCCCAUGCCUCGAAGAUGGUAGGCGGCAGACGCGGGUGGCACGGGCCUUAAAUGGCGAGGCGGGAAACCGGGUCGCCGCUGAUUGGAGCAGCGGGUCGGUCUCGAUUCCCUGCGCCCCUGAUGGCAGCGUUGGUUGAGUGGGGCGGCCGAGCCCCGACCCCACCCCUUUAUAAGAAGGGGAGGGGAUGGUACCCCUCAAUCUUUCAUCAUUAAUCUCCUUCCACCUUGGCUCCUUUAUUUCUUCUGGUAUGGCGAGAGGGCGCGCCGGCACUUCGACGGUGGCGACGAGGGUCUCCGCUCGACAGCGCGCCCCUCCUUCCCAAGAGCUCGUGGCGACGGAACCGGCCACGAGAGGAAGGGGGAGGGGGCGAGGCCGAGGUCGCCGUGCCACUCGGGGAACAGGAGGAUGGGGCGGUGCACCGGCCUCGCCUCCGCCAGCGGUCCCUCCCCUAAUGGAGGGCCACGUCGGGGACCAGCCCCGCAACUUCUUCAUCAGGCUGCACCGGCCAGUGCGCCGUCGUCUUCGUCUCCCUGCUCCUUUCGCUCGGGAGAUGGAGCUCGACUAGCCACAGACUCUGAGGUUGCAUAUGAGGGGCUGCGGGAAUGGCGGCACGCGGGUUGAUGUCGACUUUUCCAUCCCUCAUGUCAUGUAUCUUCGUCGCGGAUGGAAGACCUUCGCUCAUGUCCAUAGCCUGACGGAGGGGCUCGUUCUCUACUUCAAAUUAAUGGAGAACGGCCUGCUCUCCGUCAAGGUCUUUGGGGACUUUGGAACUCGCCUAAAGUGUUGCGUGGAGAGCUCCUCCGAUGACGAAGACUCCUCCUCAAGCGGAAGUGACGAGGAGGACAGCGACAGCGACGACGAGGGCGUCGAGCGGGGGGACACCGAAUCCGACUCCGACUGACCGCGUCGCCCCUCCCUUGGCCACGCGCCCUGCCGAGGGCCUUCCUCGUCAAGCUCUCCAUCAGCGCGUUCCCCGUCGCCCCCUUUUUUCCUUCACCUACCGCACCUGGGAGGAAAGGGGCAAGAACGGGGAUCAUGGGGCACUUAUCUUUUUUUAGUUUGUAAUCCUACGGGCCUUUGUAAGAUUUAAAUCUCGUAACCCCCUUGCUCAUGUAUGGAUUCCGUACGAAUUGUACUUGUUAGCAACGUAUUAAUCAGGAGAAGGGUGUUUGUCGGGUUUUGUUUGCGCGUGGGCAAGGGCCACACCAAGGAACGAGUCCUCGUUAUCUUAAGAUAAACACUGUACCCCGGCAACAGGCCUUGCCGUCUUCCUACUCUAUAGCUCGGUUACACUCACGCCCUUGGCGGAGGUAGGGGCCGAGUAGGAUUAGGCCCUUCGCUCGUCCCCUCCCCAUCGCGCUACAACCAAGUUCCAGCACAAAGUAAGGUUUUCGGACACGGGACAGAGGGAGCAAGAUGGUAUGAGAGCGAGUGAAGUCUCGUACGUUCAAGUUUCAUACGGAGGUACAAAGUGGGGGGAAAAGACUUAUCUGAUGUCGCAGCCCCUGGCAACCUUGGCUUGCCAUGAUCAGAUCCUUAGACCUACAGCCCCCGGCAACCUUGGCUUGUCGGGGUCGAGGCGUCGGCCUGUUCUCUUCCUUCCAAAAUAGCUCAGCGGAAAUGUCCACGCACCCUGUGAACCAAAAAGGACGGGAAGGAACAGAGAGAUGCAUACUCGAACUCUAUGCUAAGGGUUAGUCGCCGCCAAGCAAUAUCAACCCUAACACACAGAGAGACUCAACCUAGCAUGCAUGCUAAAACUUAGGGCGCCAGCGCUUCAUUUAUUUAUGCUCAGGGUCUGCGCCUGGCUUUGUACAAAGGGUUACAUGCCUUGCCGGCAAGGCUUGCACAAAAGGUGGUUUGCCGGGGAGCUCGGCAACCGCGCCUUAUGGGUAAAACUUGCGAAGAUGUUCGAUGUUCCAGGAGUUGCUCACUGGAAUACCAUCUUCGGUCUCCAGGCGGACUGCGCCGGGCCUGGUGACUCGUAUUACCCGAUAAGGGCCUUCCCACUUCGGCAUCAACUUGUUGGAAUUCUUGGCCGACUGAACAUGCUGAAGAACAAGGUCGCCUUCCUCAAAGCUUCGGGCAUAAACCUUGCGGCUAUGGUAGCGGCGCAAGGCUUGCUGGUAGCGUGCUGCUCGCACAGCCGCCCGAAGACGAUCUUCCUCAAGGAGCGUUGCGUCAUCUUGCCACAACUGCUCUUGCUCAAGCUCAUCAUAAGCGAGCACUCGAGGUGACCCGAACGUGAGUUCCGUGGGGAGAACUGCUUCUGCCUCGUAAACGAGGGAGAAAAGUGUCUGGCCGGUGGCUCGAUUUGGUGUCGUUCUGAUUGACUAAAGAACCGCCGGUAACUCAUCAAUCCAGCGCCGUCCGCACUUGUGUAGCCUGUCAAAAGUUCUUGUCCGGAGGCCUCACAAUACUUCAGCAUUCGCCCUCUCACCCUGGCCAUUUCUUCGUGGGUGUGCAACAGAAGCAAAACAGACCUUGAUGCCGAGGUCCUGGAUGUACUGCAUGAAGGUGCGACUCGUGAACUGCGUGCCGUUGUCGGUGAUGACUCUAUUUGGCACACCAAAAUGGCAGACUAGUCCCUUGAAGAAUUUGGCGGCCGACUGUGCUGUCACCUUUCUCACUGCCUCCACCUCCGACCACUUUGUGAACUUAUCGAUUGCGACGUACAAGUACUCAAAGCCCCCGACAGCACGGGGAAAGGGGCCCAAUAUGUCGAGCCCCCAAACCGAGAAUGGCCAGGAAAGAGGGAUUGUUUGUAGAGCUUGAGCUGGUUGUUGAAGCUUCUUUGAAUGGAACUGGCACGCUUCACACUUGGUUACUAGUGUCGUUGCAUCCUGGAGGUUUGUGGGCCAGAAGAAACCUUGCCGGCAAGGGCCCUCGACCCUAUGUGGGAGCCACAUAUGCCUCAGUGUAUCUCUGCCAACAGCUCCAGUCCUUCCUCCUGGGGAAUGCACUUUAAUUUCACACCGUUUGGUCUUUUUCUGUACAGAACGUCGUCGACAAACUGAUACAUGGCAGACUGACGGGCUACUUUCUCCGCUUCUUUCUGCUCCUCAGGGAGUUCCCUUGUUUGGAGGAAUCGGACGAUAUGUUGUGCCCAUGCCGGAGCCUGGGGCUCGACGGCAAGGACCAAAGGCAUUUCCUCUGCCAUGGGAGCGGCUGUCUCUACGGCCAGGGCUUGACGCCCUGCCGGAGCCUGUUGCCCCAUGGUCGGCUCAGUGUCCAUGGCAACAUCCUUGCCGACGGCUCCUGGGAGCUCGGCGGGAAAGUACUUGCCGGGGCCUGAUUUCCUCCGCUUGUUCUACUCUGUCGAUGGUUCAAUGGAUGGUUGAGUUAACCAAAGCACAAAAGUACCUGGUUCCACAGGUAGUUUGAGGGCAGCGCGUUUCGACAGGUAGUUGGCGAUGUCGUUCUCCACUCGGGGAACAUGCUCCGCUUGUAUACCGUCAAAACGCUCCUCCAGCUUCCUCACCUCAUCUACGUAGGCCUCCAUCAACGGGCUUUGAUAAUCUUUGUUAACUUGCUUGACGACAAGCUGUGAAUCACCCCUAACGAUGAUCUUCUUGAUUCUGAGGUCUGCCGCGAUCCUGAGACCGGUAAGAAACCCCUCGUAUUCAGCAGUGUUGCUUGUUGACAUCUCCCUGGGAAAGUGCAUCUGGACUACAUACUUGAGGUGCUCUCUAGUGGGUGCAACGAGCAGCACACCAGCACCGGCGCCUUGCAGCGAGAAAGCCCCGUCAAAGUACAUAAUCCAGUCGCGACUUGUUUCCUUGCCGGGAGUGGUCUCCUGAAUCUCUUCGUCGGGCGUUGAGGUCCAUUCCGCAAUGAACUCCACCAAGACUCUACUCUGAAUUUUCGAAGUGCUUUCAAACUUCAAACCAAAGCUCGACAGUUCCAAAGCCCAUUCCACAAUCCUCCCGGUUGUGUCUGGGUUAUGCAAUAUCCUUUGCAACGAGAAGCGGGUGACGACGGUGAUUUCGUGUGCUUGGAAGUAAUGACGCAGCUUCCUCGAGGCCAUAAGAAGGCCGAAGAGCAAUUUCUGCACACUGGAGUACCAUGACCUAGCCCCCUGCAAGAGGGAGCUGACAAAGUAAACCGGGCGCUGCAUCAUCUUCUUCUUCCGCACUAUUUCAUUUGGUUGCGUCGCUUCUGCUUCGCCAGCGUCAGACUCUGCCGGGGGCCUUGCCUUACCGGCACCAGGCCCUGCCGGGGGGAGCUCUGGUUUGCCAUCCACCAGCCCUGCCGUUGCCACUGCCUCUUCGUCGACCUCCCUCUGUGCCACUAGCGCGGCGCUGACCACUUGGUUCAUUGUCGUAGAUAUAGCAACAACGGUUCUUGUGGUUCAGGCGCAACCAGUAUUGGCGUAGAGGAGAGGUACUUCUUCAAAUCCUGCAGGGCUGCCUCGGCCUCUGGGGUCCAUUCCAUUGGGCCCGCCUUUUUCAAGAUUUUGAAAACGGGAAGGGCACGUUCGGCAGACUUGGAGAUGAAUCUGCUCAUGGCGGCAACGCAGCCAAUGAGCCGACGUACAUCCUUGAUCCGCCUAGGUGCCUUGAUCUGCUCAAUGGCCUUGAUCUUGUCUGGAUUCGCCUCGAUCCCACACUGUGACACAAAGAACCCGAGAAGUUUGCCGGACGAAACGCCGAAGACAAACUUCCCAGGGUUCAGCUUGAGGUUGAUCUUGCGCAAAUUUGCAAACGUCUCUUCUAAAUCUUGUACGAGUGUUGCCCUGUCCUUGGUUUUGACCACUAUGUCAUCCAUAUAAGCUUCCAUAUUUGUAUGUAGCUGGGGCUCAAAAUGAAUUUGGACCGCUCUUGCAAAUGUUGAGCCAGCACUCUUCAACCCGAAAGGCAUUCGUAAAAAACAAUACGUACCACAUGGGGUGAUGAAUGUUGUCUUCUCUUCAUCUUCUCUCGUCAUGAAGAUCUGGUGGUAUCCUGAGUAGGCGUCAAGGAACGAUAACAAGUCGCACCCGGUCGUGGAGUCAACAAUCUGGUCAAUGCGCGGCAAUGGGAAAGGGUCCUUCGGACAAGCCUUAUUGAUAUCUGUGUAAUCAAUACACAGCCUCCACUUCCCAUUUGCCUUGCGCACCACCACCGGAUUGGCCAACCACGUCAGAUGAAGUCCUCCCCUCACCAAGCAUGCCGCUUCUAACUUCCUGAUCUCCUCCGUGAUGAACUCCUGCCGUUCCAAAGCCUGCUUCCUGACCUUCUGUUUGACGGGUCGCGCAUGAGGACAGACAGCAAGAUGGUGCUCAAUCACCUCCCUGGGAACGCCGGGGAUGUCGGAUGCUUGCCAUGAAAACACAUCAACAUUCACCCGCAGGAAGGUGACGAGCGUGCCUUCCUAUUUGCAGUCAAGGGAGGAGCUUAUGGUGAAAGCCCCUCCCGUGCCAUCCUCCUUGACGGACACCUUCUUGGUCUCUGGUGGUGCAGCUCUGGAUUUCUUGCUCUUGCCGGUGGAGCUCUCUGGCACGUCCUCAAUGGGAGCACAGCACUCCGAAGAGGUGUGAUGUCUACUACGCAACCUUCUUCUUGUAGACGUUGUUGGGCCUCCAAUGCAGAGGUUUGUAGGACAGUAGCAAAUUUCCCUCAAGUGGAUGACCUAAGGUUUAUCAAUCCGUGGGAGGCGUAGGAUGAAGAUGGUCUCUCUCAAACAACCCUGCAACCAAAUAACAAAGAGUCUCUUGUGUCCCCAACACAUCCAAUACAAUGGUAAAUUGUAUAGGUGCACUAGUUCGGUGAAGAGAUGGUGAUACAAGUGCAAUAUAGAUGAUAGAUAUAGGUUUUUGUAAUCUGAAAAUAUAAAAACAGCAAGGUAACUAAUGAUAAAAGUGAGCACAAACGAUAUUGCAAUGCUAGGAAACAAGGCCUAGGGUUCAUACUUUCACUAGUGCAAGUUCUCUCAACAAUAAUAACAUAAUUGGAUCAUAUAAGUAUCCCUCAACAUGCAACGAAGAGUCACUCCAAAGUCACUAAUAGCGGAGAACAAACGAAGAGAUUAUGGUAGGGUACGAAACCACCUCAAAGUUAUCCUUUCUGAUCGAUCUAUUCAAGAGUCCGUGGUAAAAUAACAUGAAGCUAUUAUUUCCGUUCGAUCUAUCAUAGAGUUCGUACUAGAAUAACACCUUAAGACACAAAUCAACCAAAACCCUAAUGUCACCUAGAUACUCCAAUGUCACCUCAAGUAUCCGUGGGUAUGAUUAUACAAUAUGCAUCACACAAUCUCAAAUUCAUCUAUUCAAACCAACACAAAGUACUUCAAAGAGUGCCCCAAAGUUUCUACCGGAGAGUCAAGACGAAAACGUGUGCCAACCCCUAUGCAUAAGUUCACGAGGUCAUGGAACCUGCAAGUUGAUCACCAAAACGUACAUCAAGUAGACCAUGUGAUAUCCCAUUGUCACCACAGAUAAGCACAUGCAAGACAUACAUCAAGUGUUCUCAAAUCCAUAAAGACUCAAUCCGAUAGAUAACUUCAAAGGGAAAACUCAAUCCAUUACAAGAGAGUAGAGGGGGAGAAACAUCAUAAGAUCCAACUAUAAUAGCAAAGCUCGCGAUACAUCAAGAUCAUACCACCUCAAGAACACGAGAGAGAGACAUCAAACACAUAGCUACUGGUACAUACACUCAGCCCCGAGGGUGAACUACUCCCUCCUCGUCAUGGAGAGCGCCGGGAUGAUGAAGAUGGCCACCGGUGAGGGAUCCCCCCUCCGGCAGGGUGCCGGAACAGGGUCCCGAUUGGUUUUUGGUGGCUACAGAGGCUUGCGGUGGCGGAACUCCUGAUGUAUUCUGUUCUCCAAUGUUUUUAGGGUAUAUGGAUAUAUAUAUAUAGCCGAAAGAAGUCGGUCAGGGGAGCCACAAGGGGCCCACGAGGGUGGGGGCGCGCCUCCCUGCCUCGUGGCCACCUUGAUGCUUCCCUGACGUCUACUCCAAGUCUUCUGGAUUGCUUCCGUUCCAAAAAUAACUCUCCCGAAGGUUUCAUUCCGUUUGGACUCCAUUUGAUAUUCCUUUUCUUCGAAACACUGAAAUAGGCAAGAAAACAGCAAUUUGGGCUAGGCCUCCGGUUAAUAGGUUAGUCCCAAAAAUAAUAUAAAAGUGUAUAAUAAAGCCCAUAAACAUCCAAAACAGAUAAUAUAAUAGCAUGGAACAAUCAAAAAUUAUAGAUACGUUGGAGACGUAUCAAGGUGCGCUUGUCGGAGUGGGUGCGAGAGGUCUUGCCGGUCUUCUUCCCUCCCGGGGCUUCGGUGGCAGGAGCAAGUGCCUUGGCGGCAGUUGCUGCAACUGCCUCCCGGUAGAGUUGGUCAGCGCAGAUCAGCGCAUCCUUCUUGUCGGAGGGGACGGUGAUGAUGGUCAUCGGCCCAGGCAUCUUCAGCAUGUUGUAGGCGUAAUGUGAGGCCGCCAUGAACUUGGCUAGUGCUGGGCGGCCGAGGAUCCCAUUGUAGGGCAAGGAGAUCUCGGCUACAUCGAAAAUAAUCAUCUCUGUCAUGUAGUUCAACUCGCCUCCAAACGUCACGGGCAGCGUGACCUUACCCUUCGGCUGACUCCUUCCCGGGUUGACCCCUUGAAAUGUGCCCGUCUCUUCGAGGUCUUCAUCAGGAAUCUGCAGCCUUUUGAUCACAACAGGCGAGAUCAAGUUCAGACCGGCCCCGGCAUCAACCAGCAUUUUCGUCACCUUGAGGUUGCGUAUUGUUGGUGAAACCAACAGCGGCAAACACCCGACCGCAGUUGUGCGAUCAGGGUGGUCCUCGGUGUAAAAAUGAUAGGCGUGCUGGACCACUUCAGUGGCGUUUGAGCAUCGAACGAGGGUUCUGCUACUGUGAUCUCACGCGCGCACUGCUUGAGCUGGCGGUGAGAGGUGUGCAGCGAGGCGCCACCGUCGACGCACAUGGCCUCUGUAGCUUUCUGGAACUCAUGCUCGCCGUACUCGUCGUCCUCGUCAUGAUCAUCGUCUUCUUGCUUCUUGUCGCGGCCCCGAGCAGGCCUCUCUUGCUGAUCCUUGCCGCGGCGACCUCCUUGGCCGCCACGCUUCUUGCCGGAUCCCUCGGCACCAUCCCGACCCUUCUCCUUGUCCCGCCUCUCAUACUCAGCUUUUUGCUUCUCAGCAAGCAGCUCAACUUGCCGGCAAUUCUGGAGGUCGUGGCCCUUGGUGCGGUGGAUCUUGUAGUACUGCUUGUCGGAGCCUCCUUGCUUGUCGGCAGCCGCCAAGGCCCGGCAAGCGGCGCACCCGGCAGUUUCCUUGCCGGGGUCGUCUGCCUUGGCCUUCUUGGCAGCGCCGGUGUCCUCGGAUCCCUCGACGACAAGCACGGUCUUGCCCUUGCGCUUCCUGUUGCAGCGCCGACCCUUCUUCGUCGGGGCGGCUGUGUCUUCGUCUGUGGAGUCGGUUUCCGCACCGGCGUCCUCGCCGGGGUACUUCCUCCCCUCUUCAGCUCGAGCGCACCUAUCGGCCAGAACAUAAAGUUCGGCCACAUCUUUGACCUUAUUCAUCGCCAGCUCUUCACGCAUCUUGCGGUUGCGCACAUUCUGAUGGAAUGCGCUGAUCACGGCGGCGGGAUGAACAUCUGGGAUGUUGUACUGCACCCGGCUGAACCUCUGUAUGUACUUGCGCAGGGUUUCACCUUCCUUCUGGGGGGUGAUAUGCAAAUCGCUUACCUGGCCAUGAGCUUGGUGGCCUCCAGUGAAGGCGCCAACGAACUCAUGACACAAAUCCGACCAAGAAGAAAUGGAAUCCGCCGGCAAGUGCAUCAACCAUGACAUGACAUUGGGUUUAAGUGCCAACGGGAAGUAAUUGGCAAGCACCUUGUCGUCGCGAGCUCCAGCAGCUUGCAUCGUGAUGGUGUAGAUGCUGAGGAACUCCGACGAGUGGGUCUUGCCGUUGUACUUCUCGCCAACGUCGGGCUUGAACGUGCGGUGGUAGGGCCACUGGAACUGUCACAGCUCACGGGUAAAGGCUGGGCAACCCACCUCGUAGGGUAGGCCGCCAGAGCCUCCCGGUGCUGGGUGGUCCAUAGUGGGCCUCGCCCGCCUAUCUGACUGGUGGGGUGCUUCACGCCGGCGCUCGAUGGUGGUUCGAGCGUCUUCAUGGGCUCGCUCUCGAAGAACUUGGCGCUGAUCGCGGUGGGUCCGUGGGUCGGACGAUGCUAUGGAAAUGUUAUCACAAGCGUCAUCACGACGGAUCGACACCCACAGUGGCUGGUCUGGGGGAGGAGAGUGCAUCAUGGCCGCAGAACCUCCGGUCCUUCCACCACCGGCAUGCGGUGGCUCGACGGAGCGCCGUCCCGAGGGCCCCGCUGGUCGUGGCUCAUCUUUGUUGGCAACGGCGACGAGGCUCCGGAUGGUGGCUCUCCACUCGUCGAGAUUUUCCGCAGCAGGAGGAAAGUCGAGGAGCAACUGCGCACGCACCAAAGCUUCUGCUGGCGUGGGUGGCGGCGAAAGCUGCGUGGACCAUGACGCUCUCCGACUUCUAACCAUGUUAGAAGGAGCUCUAUCACGGCCUUGCGGCUGUGCGCCAUUUUCGCCCGUGCCUCGGCGUGCUUGUUGGCCUUCUACGUCCUGCGAAUGAGGCACAUGACUCUUCCCACGGCGGCGCCCGGGCUCACCAGCGUGGUGACGCUGCUCGUCACGCACAACCUGGGAAGAGCGCGUCGUGGGCGCCGGCGUAGGCAUCUUGGAAGUCACCGCGCCGCCCAUGGGCGGCACGACGCGGCCCUUGGAGGGCCCCGCGCCGCCUGCGGGGGGCCCGGCUCCGUCUUUGCAUUUGGCGGCGUGCGGCCCGUCGUCUCGCACACGAACGACGCCGCUCGCCAGGCUUUGACUGCCAGAGCAAUGUGGGUGUUCGCGGGCCACGCCUCGGCUUCCAUCCGUGACCGCCCCACCACUCGCCCGCACUGGUACGGGUCGUUCGGCUCCCGAUGAACUGAUCGCCAUGAUCGUCUUCUUCUUGGGAGCCAUGGCGAUGAAGAACUGCUAAACUAACUGCUAGACCGGAUUUUCACAACCGCGCCCCCUACCUAGUGCGCCAAAGAUGUCGGUGGAAAACGACAACUAUGGGAUCACUGGAAUCCCUUCUACAGUUGGCGGGCGCGGGGUUGUGCAAAGAGCUGGUCUAGAAGCCAGCACAAAGAUCAUUUACCCAGGUUCGGGCUGCGAGGAUGUGUAAUACCCUAGUCCUGCUUUGGUGUAUAUUUGAGUGUUCUUGAGCUCUCGAACUAGCUGUGGUGCGUGCGUAGUCCAAAAGAUCCGAAUCCUUCUCCCGUACGCCUCGGGCCUCCUUUUAUAGUCAAAAGGGGUUGCCAAAGUGACACACAGGAGGUGGAAAGGUAUACAGUGGUUAAGUCUAUCCUCUGGCACCAUUGGAAAAACGCAUUUAAUGCGCUGCCAACGUGCCCUUCUUGCUUUAUCGGGGAUGGCUGGCAGCUCGUCCCAGCUGUCGCCGCCUCGCCUGGCUCCGACGCGCGUCCGAGCUGAUGAGGCGUUGUAGUGCCACAUUGGCUGGCUGCUGGGCUGGCGCGGUGGCAGAGUCUUCACGAAGAUCUGUAUGCCACCACAUAGGUGCUUGCUGAGUUGGCCUGGAGGCCGCGCAUCGCCACGCAGGUGCCUGCCCAGCUGUUUGGGCUGGCAGCUGUAUGGGAACAUCGGUGGAGUCUUGGCAGACGUGGGCCUGGCUGUGGCCCCGCAGGUGUCCUCGGCAAGGGUCUUGCCGGGGCCCCAGCAAGGGCCUUGCCGUGGCAUCGCGGUCGUCCCCGGCAAGGAUCUUGCCGGGGGUCUCGUGGUUUCCUCGGCAAGGAUCUUGCCGAGGAUCGUCGUCUUCUGGUCCUCAUCUGAUCUUGUGUGCUUAUGAUCUUCACAAAGAUCCGCAUGCCACCAUGGAGGUGCCUCCCGAGCCUUGGUUCCAAUGAGGUUGAUGGUGUUGGAACCCUUGGGCUCAAGGGUGGCGCGCUCUGCUGGCGUUGGGCAAGUUGCUCCGGCAAGGCUCUUGCCGGGGCUGUUGAGGCCGUCCCGGCAAAGGGCUUGCCGGGGGAGUCCACCUCGCCCUUCUGCUCUUUGUGUUUCCGUCUUGGCGUUGAUCUAGUCAUCUUGUGCCUUUGCUUCUUCUGCCCCGCCAAGCGUGGUCAGGGGCGUGGGGUUGCGACUACCCGCGCACAAGUAAAGGGGUGCAAAAAAAGAACCCCUACUUUUGUACACCGACAAAGGGAAUAAUAAAUAUGGUAGAGAAAAAAUUCGAAAACCUAAGUCUCAUGACUGCCACGUGAUUGUGACGCAAUUGCUUCUGGUUGCAUUGAGGGGGCUUCUACCGGAAAAUGUUCGAUUAGCCAUUGUGAAGCUAUGUGCAUUCCUUAAUGCAAUCUCUUAGAAGGUAAUCGAUCUAGAAAUCCUACCAAGGUUACAGAAUGAUUUGGUGCAAUAUCUUGUCAGUUUCGAGUUGGUGUUCCCGCCAUCCUUCUUCAAUAUCAUGACGCACGUCCUAGUUCACCUAAUCAACGAGAUUGCCAUUCUGGGUCCUAUAUUUCUACACAAUAUGUUCCCUUUUGAGAGGUUCAUGGGAGUCUUAAAGAAAUAUGUUCAUAACUGUGCUAGGCUAGAAGGAAGCAUCUCCAAGGGCUAUGAAAUAGAGGAGGUCAUUGAGUUUUGUGUUGACUUUAUUCCUGACCUUAAGCUGGCUGGUGUUCCUGAACUGCGGCAUGAGGGCAGACUGGGUGGAAAAGGCACGCUAGGAAAGGAUCCAGUAAUAUGUAUAGACGGGCAUUCUUGAGCUCAAGCACAUUCCACCUUGGUGGCUCCGUAUAUCGAGGAACACAUGGAUAUUCUAUGCUCCAAGAACCCGGAGCAGUCUGUGCCCUGGAUCAAAUGUACACACAUGGCGUCAUUCGGCGGUUUGUUGCAAACAUGUCUCAUGCAUGACGACACUGUUGGAGAUGAGUUGUACUUGCUGGCAAAGUCACCAUCUUCGACUAUAUUGACUUUCAAAGGGUAAAAGAUAAAUGGGAAUACAUUUUACACGAUCGCCCAAGAUAAAAAGAGCACCAACCAAAACCAUGGUGUCUGCUUUGAUGCAGCAAACACCAAUAUGCCAAAGGACACAUAUUAUGGUUACACAAAGGAGAUAUGGGAACUUGACUAUGGACGUGAUUUGAAGGUUCCUUUGUUUCGGUGCAAAUGGGUCAAUCUGAUAGGAGGCGGGGUAAAGGAAGACCCGCGGUACAGAAUGACAACAGUGGAUCUCAACAAUCUUGGGUACACAGACGAACCAUUCGUCCUAGCCAAUGAUGUGGCGCAGGUUUUGUAUGUGAAGGACAUGUCUACCAAGCCGAGAUAAAGAAAAGAUAAGGAAGCGAAUACAUCAUACGAUGAGCCAAAGCGCCACAUAGUUCUUUCAGGGAAAAGAAACAUCGUGGGAGUGGAGGACAAGACAGACAUGUCAGAAGAUUAUGAAAAGUUUCAUGAAAUUGCUCCCUUCACAGUGAAGACUGACCUAAGCAUCCUGUUAAAUGAUGAAGAUUGUCCAUGGAUACGGCGCAAAGGGACACACGCAUAGAAAAAGUUUUAUACCCCAAGAUCCCACUCUGGGAUGUGACCAACUUCACCAUCAUCACUUUCUUCUCUAGUGAGUUUCCGUACUUGUCUGGAAAGUCCCACUUUGGACAAACCGGAGGGAAUCUUUGUAAUAGUUGGGGUAUAUAUGUGUUUUGGCAUUUGAAACGCGAAGAAACAUUAUGUAGGAGUUUUUUUUACUAUGAACAUUAUGUAGGAGUUAAUCAAUCCAAUUAUGUCCAAAGAAGAUAUUUCACUACGUAUUUUGCAAGGUUGAUCAUACGCGGUUAGCCACGUCAUCAAUUUUCAACCCUUUCUGACUUUAUUUGCUAUUUUUUGAGCUAAAUGACCCUGAAAUUGAAAAGCACUACAAAUGAAUUCUGAAAAGGUUGAAACUUGGCAUGGUAUCACCAUUUCACCCACAUAGCAUGUGCUAAAAAGUUGAGAGGGUUGCGGCAAAAACUGGAUGAACUUCGUGUAAAAAAUGGACAAUCUCUUUCGAAGUAUCAGGGUUUCAGAUGAAAACUCAUCUGUUACAAAGGCAUGUCAUUUUCCUAAACUUAUUUUAACUCCAGACUUUUUGUGCAUUCAAUAUGCACCAUUCAAAGCCACGUCAUCAAUUUUCAACCCUUUCUGACUUCAUUUGCUAUUUUUCAUGAAUUUAUUGAUUUUUUUGAGCUAUAAACCUAAAAGAGCUAAACAGAAUCUGUUUUUGAUUAAAACACCUAUUUAAAAUAACCUAAAAUUUACCAAAUUGAACAUACUGAUAAAACACACUAAUAUUAAAUAGCAGGAAGAAGAAUCACUCAAAAAUCUAUGUUUAAAGUAAAGUUAUUCACAAACUAGUGAUUCACACAAAUUUCAAAGAAUUGAAAUUUAAACUAUUCAAAUUUGUGAACUACUGGCACUAGCAGAAAGUUUAUAAUUUUUGUGACCUAAAGCAAAAAUAUACACUCAAAAACUCUAAAUAUUUGGCUGUAAGUAGAAACAAAAGCAAAAAAAGCUGGAAAAAGACUUUAGUCCCGGUUGCCACCACCAGCCGGGACUAAAGGGCCCCCUCCCGCGCUGAAUUUGGGCCGCCCCAAAACAGCCCUUUAGUCCCGGCCCGUGGCUGAAACCGGGACUAAAGGUUGUACCUUUAGUCCAGGUUCCAGCCACGCACCAGGACUAAAGGUCCUUUAGUCCCGGUGCGUAGUCCCGGUGCGUGGCUGGAACCGGGACUAAAGGUCCAUUCUAUAUAACCUGACACUUAGCAUUUUCAGCCUUGAUACGUCUCCAAUGUAUCUAUAAUUUUUGCUUGUUCCAUGCUGUUAUAUUAUCAUUCUUGGAUGUUUUACAAUAAUUUUAUAGCAACUUUAUAUCAUUUUUUGGUACUAACCUAUUGGCAUAGUGCCCAGUGCCAGUUGCAGUUUUUUUGCUUGUUUUUUAUUUCACAGAAUAACAGUACCAAACGCAGCGAAACUUUUUGGUGAUUUUGUUUGGACCAAAAGACAUCCAGUGGGCCAAAGAAGUACUAGAGGGGAGGCCCGAGGUGAGCACAAGACACCUGGGCGCGCCAGGAGGCCCAUGCGUGCCCAGGUGGGUUGUGCCCCACCUCGGUGACCUCCCGCACCGCCUCUUCGCCCUAUAAAUACCCCCAAUAUUCCAGGAACCCUAGGUAAGUCGACAAAACACAAUUCCAGCUGCCGCAAGUUCCAGAACCACGAGAUUCAAUCUAGACACCAUCACGAAGGGGUUCAUCAUCCUCAUUGGUGCCUUUCCGAUGAUGCGUGAGUAGUUCACUGUAGACCUACGGGUCCGUAGGCAGUAGCUAGAUGGGUUCCUCUCUCUUUUUCAUUCUCAAUACAAUGGUCUCUUGGAGAUCUAUUUUAUGUAACUCUUUUUUGCGGUGUGUUUGUUGGGAUCCGAUGAAGUUUGAGUUUAUGAUCAGAUCUAUAUCCAUGAAAGUUAUUUGAGUUUUCUUUGAUCUCUUAUAUGCAUGAUUACUUAUAGCCUCGUAUUUAUUCUUCGAAUCUUUGGUUUAGUUAGGCCAACUAGAUCGAUUUUUAUUGCCAUGGGAAGAUGUGCUUUGUGAUGGGUUCGGUCGUGCGGUGUUCUUUCCCAGUGACAGAAGGGACAGCAAGACACACAUGUAUCGUUGCUAUUAAGGAUAACAAGAUGGGGGCUAUUCCUACAUGAAUAGAUCUCGUCUACAUCAUGUCAUCGUUCUUAUUUCAUUACUCUGUUUCUCCAUGAACUUAAUACACUAGAUGCAUACUGGAUAGCGGUCGAUGUGUGGAGUAAUAGUAGUAGAUGCAGGCAGGAGUCGGUCUAGUAAUCUUGGACGUGAUGCCUAUAUAAUGAUCAUUGCCUGGAUGUCAUAAUUAUUCGACCUUCUAUCAAUUGCCCAGCAGUAAUUUGUUUACCCACCAUGUGCUAUUUUCUCGAGAGAAGCCACUAGUGAAAUCUACGGCCCCCAGGUCUAUUCUUUAUCAUAUUUGCUUUGAGAUCUAUUUUUAUUUUCUUUUAUUUUCAGAUAUAUUAUUCCAAAAACCCAAAAAUACCUUGCUGCAUUUUUUUAUUACUUAUUCUAUUUCACGUUUUAUUGAGAGCUAUUUAUCCAAUCUACCAUAAAUUUAUCUAUCUUUUUCCGUGGAGGGAUUGACAACUACUCUUACGCGUCGGGUUGCAAGUAUUUGUUCUUUGUGUGCAGGUACCGUUUACAUAGUGUUGCUUGGUUCUCCUACUGGAUUGAUACCUUGGUUUCAUAACUGAGGGAAAUACCUACCAUAGCUGUGCUGCAUCAUCCCUUCCUCUCUGGGGAAAUACCGACGUAGUUCAGGCGGCAUCAAAAGGAAUUUCUGGCGCCGUUGCCGGGGAGACAUCAUCAACAUCUAUCAGGUUCCUAAUCACAAAUCUCAUCUCCUUGCAAUUUAAAUUAUUUGCCAUUUGCCUCCCGUUUUCAUCUCCCCCACAUCACAAAAAUUUGUCGUUUUAUUCGCCUUGUUUUUCUUUCGCCGUUUUGUCGUCAGAUCUAUCUUUUUGUUUGCAAUCUUGUUUGCGUUGUCACGAUGUCUCAAGUAAACACCAAGUUGUGUGAUUUUCCCAAUACCAAUAAUAAUGAUUUUAUUAGUACUCUGAUUGCUCCUCCCGCCAUUAGUGUGAAAUCUUGUGAUAUUAAUGCCGCUUUGUUGAAUCUUCUUGCGAAAGAUCAAUUUUUCGGUACUCCUAAUGAGGAUGACGCGUCCCAUCUAAACACAUUCAUAGAAUUGUGUGAUAUGCAAAAGAAAAAAGAUAUGGACAAUGAUAUUGUGAAGUUGAAAUUAUUUCCUUUCUCUUUAAGGGAUCGUGCAAAAAUUUGGUUUUCUUCUUUGCCUCACAAUUGUAUCGAUUCUUGGGAUAAGUGCAAAGAUGCAUGUAUUACUAGUAUUUUCCGCCCACGGAAAAUAUUUCCCUUAGAACUCAAAUCAUGAAUUUUAAGCAACUUGAGCAUGAACAUGUUGCACAAUCUUGGGAAAGAAUGAAAUUGAUGAUAAGAAAUUGUCCUACUCAUGGUUUAAAUCUUUGGAUGAUCAUACAAAAAAUUUAGGGUUAAUUGGAUAAAUGUCACUCCAAUUUUGGCCAUUCCGAAAAAUACCACUCCAAUUUGCAAACUUCAGAAAAUGUCACUCCAAUUCUCGCAUACUUCUGUCGAUGCCACUCCAGCCACUUGAGCUUGUUUUUGUACAAAAACACUCACGUAUACGUUCUGUACUUUCUCUUGGAUAGAAAUGCCCCUACAUCCAUCUGGUUAGCACGCACCGUGCCUAUCUUCUUCCUCCUGUUCAUUGUUCCUCUCCUCGUUCCCCUCCUCUCUCGCCAAGAACCCUAGCUGCCACCGUGCUGCUCCUCCACAUCCCCAGCCUUCGCCCUGCUACUCCACACCAUCACCCCCCUGUUGUUGCUCCACAUCCCGUCCCGCCACCCUGUUGCUUCCCAUCGCCGAGCAGGAGUCUCAGCCAGCGCGCCGCGCCCCAAGCGCCUUUCCACUCUGGCCCCAUUCCCCCUGCCCCCCUUCACUAUCUCCCAUGUCCUUCCGCCGAAGCUCGCCGCCAGCCUCUUCUGUCCUCACUCCCCCUUGCCCCAGCUUCCUCUGCUCCAUCUUCCAUGGCAAGGAGAGUUGUCGGGGCCAUUGGAGGUGGAGGAUGGAGCUCGUCUGUCGUUAUUUAGAUGAUCUAAAGAGCAAGGAGAUGGAGAAGAUCGCAGGUCGCCUUGCUGAAUCUAAGAGGAAGAAAAAUGAUGCAGGUGGCUUGUUUUUGGAUGAACUAAAGAUUGUUGAAAUGAACUUUGCACAAUGGCAGAUGGAAGAACUAAAGAUUGAGAAUGCAAAAAUAUGUGCCAUUUGUAUGAAUUACUGGUGGUUGUACUGAAAAAGAUGUAACUAGUGGCCGUACAGAGAAAUGAGUAAUGAAGAAUGUGUUAUUUUCCUAUGCAGAAGAAGCAUGAAUGUAUUGUGCAGAGGAAGCAUAAAUGUACUGUCACAAUAUUUGUCCAUGAACAAAGCAUGAACUUAGUGGAAAAAAUGGACAUGACCUCUGGCAAAAUACAUAUAAUUUUGCAUCAGAUGACAAGUCAUAAUAUUUUGCAUCAAUAAAAGAUGAAACAAAAUAGUCUUAAAGCUCCUAUUUGAGCAUCCCACACACAAGCUCUAGUUUGAGCCUCACACACAAGUUCAAGCUCCAGUUUGAGCAUCACACACACACAUAGGUUGAAGCUCCAGUUUGAGCAUCACACACACAUACAUGGUCCAGUUCAAGCAAAUUCGACCCCCAAGCCAAUAAAGCAGAUUUUUCUUGGUUCCUAGAGUUGGCUUUAGAACAGCAUCACUAGUAGAUGGUGUAACGAACUGCAGUUUUUGCUCUUCUUCCCUGUAGUUUUGUCCUUUCCGGUACCUUCACUUUGCUUGCCUUUCCCCUUGACCGGAGUUCUUCUUGACCGACGUCUUCUUCUUCUUAACCCGUGUCUUCUUCUUAACCGGCGUCUUUUUCUUCUUGACCGGUGUCUUCUUCUUAGCCGGCGUCGUUUUCUUCUUGACCGGUGUCGUCUUCUUGACCGGCGUCGUCUUGACCAGCGUGUUCUUCAGCAUAUGUCAAAAAUAAGUAUUGUGUGUGUUCAUAAAUAUAAUUUGUGGUAAAAGAAUGAACAUAAGUUAGUAUGAUACCUUUUAUAAUUUGCGAUAGGUUCGUCAUCUUCCACAACUUCCUCCUCGGUUGCAGUAGCAUCUCUCUUUUUGCAUGAUAGAAAAAGGUGAAAUGGUUUAGCAACAUUAACCCAAUUGACAUAAUCAAAUUUAGGUAAGUACAAUGGCACCUUUUACUAGGAGUGUGCUCCAUUGGUGGUGGUUCUACAAUAACUAAAGGAGGGAGAUUGCAAGUUUUCGCAAAGUGGCCAUUUCGACCGCAUUUUUUCCAUUUGACUACUUUCCUGCCUGGGUCUUCAAGAAAUCCUCUAAUUCUUUGAACCCUAGACCUUCCAGGUGGCCUUUUCUCUUGUACAGGUGGGUAAACCAUGAAUCCAAGGUCAACUUGCUCCCAUUGUGUCCUAUCUGUCAUGGUUGGCAGUGCCCCAGCAUAAGCAGCCUUAAAUUUUGCCACACUGUAAUACUCAUCAACAAAGGACUCAAUCUUUGUGCCCCUCAUUGAACAAAUGAAAUCAAUGCAUGAAUGCAAGGCUGCCCAGAAACUUGAAAUUUCUGACAUGAGCAUGUUCUCUGUUUUAGAUCAACCGUGUGCCUCUGGUCAUAUGCUUUCUCAUCAUAUAGUGUAAUCUCUGCCUCAUGUUCUGUAUUCCACGCCACUUUAUGGGGCCCAAUUGUUUUACUGAGUGCAUUGAGCCUCUUGAGAACCUCGGGAAAAAUUAUGUCGGCCAAAUGCCUACCAACAUGCCUCCUCACAUUGAACUUCACCAUUAUUAGCUCUCUAAUCCUAUCCAGUAGCUCACACAAAUUUAACCCUUUCAAAUCUUUGAUUUGCUUGUUGAAACUUUCAGAAAUAUUGUUAGUGAGAUAAUCAACCUUGCUAUCCACACCAAAGGCGCACCUAUACCAAAUCCUAUUAUGGUGUUUCUCAAGGUACUCAAUAGCACUUGGAUCUGCCUCAAAUAUCUUCUGCAUAUGCCAUCUAAAUUUGUGCACUUUUCUACGUCUACGGUCUAUAUCAGAGUCCUUCCCUUCACAUAAUUCUGUUGCAAAUAUGCCCUAGAGGCAAUAAUAAAUGGUUAUUAUUAUAUUUCUUUGUUCAUGGUAAUUGUCUAUUAUUCAUGCUAUAAUUGUAUUGUCCGGAAACCGUAAUACAUGUGUGAAUACAUAGACCACAACCUGUCCCUAGUAAGCCUCUAGUUGACUAGCUCGUUGAUCAACAGAUAGUCAUGGUUUCCUGACUAUGGACAUUGGAUGUCAUUGAUAACGGGAUCACAUCAUUAGGAGAAUGAUGUGAUGGACAAGACCCAAUCCUAAGCAUAGCAUAAAAGAUCGUGUAGUUUCGUUUGCUAGAGCUUUUCCAAUGUCAAGUAUCUUUUCCUUAGACCAUGAGAUCGUGCAACUCCCGGAUACCGUAGGAGUGCUUUGGGUGUGCCAAACGUCACAACGUAACUGGGUGACUAUAAAGGUGCACUACGGGUAUCUCCGAAAGUGUCUGUUGGGUUGGCACGGAUCGAGACUGGGAUUUGUCACUCCGUGUGACGGAGAGGUAUCUCUGGGCCCACUCGGUAAUGCAUCAUCAUAAUGAGCUCAAUAUGACUAAGGCGUUAGUCACGGGAUCAUGCAUUGCGGUACGAGUAAAGAGACUUGCCGGUAACGAGAUUGAACAAGGUAUUGGGAUACCGACGAUCGAAUCUCGGGCAAGUAACAUACCGAUUGACAAAGGGAAUUGCAUACGGAUUGAUUGAAUCCUCGACACCGUGGUUCAUCCGAUGAUAUCAUCGUGGAACAUGUGGGAGCCAACAUGGGUAUCCAGAUCCCGCUGUUGGUUAUUGACCGGAGAGGCGUCUCGGUCAUGUCUGCAUGUCUCCCGAACCCGUAGGGUCUACACACUUAAGGUCCGGUGACGCUAGGGUUGUAGAGAUAUUGUUGGGAAUCGUAGCAUAAUUUAAAAUUUUCCUACGCUCACCAAGAUGCAUCUAUGGAGUCUACUAGCAACGAGGGGAAAGGAGUGGAUCUACAUACCCUUGUAGAUCGCGAGCGGAAGCGUUCCAAUGAACGUGGAUGACGGAGUCGUACUCGCCGUGAUCCAAAUCACCGAUGACCGAGUGCCGAACGGACGGCACCUCCGCGUUCAACACACGUACGGUGCAGCGACGUCUCCUCCUUCUUGAUCCAGCAAGGGGGAAGGAGAGGUUGAUGGAGAUCCAACAGCACGACGGCGUGGUGGUGGAUGUAGCGGGUCUCCGGCAGGGCUUCGCCGAGCUUCUGCGAGAGAGAGAGAGAGGUGUUGCAGGGGAGGAGGGAGGCGCCCAAGGCUUAGAUUUUGCUGCCCUCCCUUCCCCCCACUAUAUAUAGGGCCAAGGGAGAGGGGGGGCGCAGCCUUGCCCCUUCCUUCAAGGAAGGGUGCGGCCAGGGGGGAGUCCUUCCCCCCCAAGGCACCUCGGAGGUGCCUUCCCCCUUUAGGACUCUCCCUUCUUUCUUAUCUCUUGCGCAUGGGCCUCUUGGGGCUGGUGCCCUUGGCCCAUAUAGGCCAAGGCGCACCCCUUACAGCCCAUGUGGCCCCCCGGGGCUGGUGGACCCCUUUGGUGGACCCCCGGACCCCUUUUGGCACUCCCGGUACAAUACCGAUAAAGCGCGAAACUUUUCCGGCGACCAAAAUAAGACUUCCCAUAUAUAAAUCUUUACCUCCGGACCAUUCCGGAACCUCUCGUGACGUCCGGGAUCUCAUCCGGGACUCCGAACAACUUUCGGGUUUCCGCAUACAUAUAUCUCUACAACCCUAGCGUCACCGGACCUUAAGUGUGUAGACCCUACGGGUUCGGGAGACAUGCAGACAUGACCGAGACGCCUCUCCGGUCAAUAACCAACAGCGGGAUCUGGAUACCCAUGUUGGCUCCCACAUGUUCCACGAUGAUAUCAUCGGAUGAACCACGGUGUCGAGGAUUCAAUCAAUCCGUAUGCAAUUCCCUUUGUCAAUCGGUAUGUUACUUGCCCGAGAUUCGAUCGUCGGUAUCCCAAUACCUAGUUCAAUCUCGUUACCGGCAAGUCUCUUUACUCGUACCGCAAUGCAUGAUCCUGUGACUAACGCCUUAGUCACAUUGAGCUCAUUAUGAUGAUGCAUUACCGAGUGGGCCCAGAGAUACCUCUCCGUUUACACGGAGUGACAAAUCCCAGUCUCGAUCCGUGCCAACCCAACAGACACUUUCGGAGAUACCCGUAAUGCACCUUUAUAGUCACCCAGUUACGUUGUGACGUUUGGCACACCCAAAGCACUCAUACGGUAUCCGGGAGUUGCACGAUCUCAUGGUCUAAGGAAAAGAUACUUGACAUUGGAAAAGCUCUAGCAAACGAAACUACACGAUCUUUUAUGCUAUGCUUAAGUUGGGUCUUGUCCAUCACAUCAUUCUCCUAAUGAUGUGAUCCCGUUAUCAAUGACAUCCAAUGUCCAUAGUCAGGAAACCAUGACUAUCUGUUGAUCAACGAGCUAGUCAACUAGAGGCUUACUAGGGACAGGUUGUGGUCUAUGUAUUCACACAUGUAUUAUGAUUUCCGGACAAUACAAUUAUAGCACGAAUAAUAGACUAUUAUCAUGAACACAGAAAUAUAAUAAUAACCAUUUAUUAUUGCCUCUAGGGCAUAUUUCCAACAAUUGCCCUUGCGAAGGAGCCCAGGUUUCACAGGAAGACCAGGCAUAUCAAGCGUCGCUUCAACUCCAUUCGUGAAAGUGUUCAAAAUGGAGACAUAGAUAUUUGUAAAGUACAUACGGACCUGAAUGUAGCAGAUCCGUUGACUAAACCUCUCCCUAGGGCAAAACAUGAUCAACACCAGGACGCAAUGGGUGUUCGAUUCAUCACAAUGUAACUAGAUUAUUGACUCUAGUGCAAGUGGGAGACUGUUGGAAAUAUGCCCUAGAGGCAAUAAUAAAUGGUUAUUAUUAUAUUUCUUUGUUCAUGAUAAUCGUCUAUUGUUCAUGCUAUAAUUGUAUUGUCCGGAAAUCGUAAUACAUGUGUGAACACAUAGACCACAACGUGUCCCUAGUAAGCCUCUAGUUGACUAGCUCGUUGAUCAACAGAUAGUCAUGGUUUCCUGACUAUGGACAUUGGAUGUCAUUGAUAACGGGAUCACAUCAUUAGGAGAAUGAUGUGAUGGACAAGACCCAAUCCUAAGCAUAGCAUAAAAGAUCGUGUAGUUUCGUUUGCUAGAGCUUUUCCAGUGUCAAGUAUCUUUUCCUUAGACCAUGAGAUCGUGCAACUCCCGGAUACCGUAGGAGUGCUUUGGGUGUGCCAAACGUCACAACGUAACUGGGUGACUAUAAAGGUGCACUACGGGUAUCUCCGAAAGUGUCUGUUGGGUUGGCACGGAUCGAGACUGGGAUUUGUCACUCCGUAUGACGGAGAGGUAUCUCUGGGCCCACUCGGUAAUGCAUCAUCAUAAUGAGCUCAAUGUGACUAAGGCGUUAGUCACGGGAUCAUGCAUUGCGGUACGAGUAAAGAGACUUGCCGGUAACGAGAUUGAACAAGGUAUUGGGAUACCGACGAUCGAAUCUCGGGCAAGUAACAUACCGAUUGACAAAGGGAAUUGCAUACGGAUUGAUUGAAUCCUCGACACCGUGGUUCAUCCGAUGAGAUCAUCGUGGAGCAUGUGGGAGCCAACAUGGGUAUCCAGAUCCCGCUGUUGGUUAUUGACCGGAGAGGCGUCUCGGUCAUGUCUGCAUGUCUCCCGAACCCGUAGGGUCUACACACUUAAGGUCCGGUAACGCUAGGGUUGUAGAGAUAUAUGUAUGCGGAAACCUGAAAGUUGUUCGGAGUCCCGGAUGAGAUCCCGGACGUCACGAGAGGUUCCGGAAUGGUCCGGAGGUGAAGAAUUAUAUAUAGGAAGUCCAGUUUCGGCCACCGGGGAAGUUUCGGGGGUUAUCGGUAUUGUACCGGGACCACCGGAAGGGUCCCGGGGGUCCAUCGGGUCGGGCCACCUGUCCCGGAGGGCCCCGUGGCUGAAAGUGGAAGGGAACCAGCCCCUAGUGGGCUGGGGCGCCCCCCUUGGGCCUCCCCCCCUGCGCCUAGGGUUGGGAACCCUAAGGGGAGGGGAGUUCCCCCUUGCCUUGGGGGGCAAGGCAACCCCUUCCCCCCUUGUGGCCGCCGCCCGCCCUUGAGAUCUCAUCUCUUGGGGCCGGCGCCCCCCCCCCAGGGGGCCUAUAUAAAGGGGGGGAGGGAGGGCAGCACAGAACAGCCUUGGGCGCCUCCCUCCUCCCCUGCAACACCUCUCUCUCUCUCGUAGAAGGUCGCGAAGCCCUGCACGAGACCCGCUACAUCCACCACCACGCCAUCGUGCUGCUGGAUCUCCAUCAACCUCUCCUUCCCCCUUGCUGGAUCAAGAAGGAGGAUACGUCGCUGCACCGUACGUGUGUUGAACGCGGAGGUGCCGUCCGUUCGGCACUCGGUCAUCGGUGAUUUGGAUCACGGCGAGUACGACUCCGUCAUCCACGUUCAUUGGAACGCUUCCGCUCGCGAUCUACAAGGGUAUGUAGAUGCACUCCCUUCCCCUCGUUGCUAGUACACUCCAUAGAUGCAUCUUGGUGAACGUAGGAAAAUUUUAAAAUUAUGCUACGAUUCCCAACAGUGGCAUCAUGAGCCAGGUCUAUGCGUAGUUACUAUGCACGAGUAGAACACAAAGCAGUUGUGGGCGUUGAGUUUGCCAAUUCUUCUUGCCGCUACUAGUCGUUUCUUGUUUCGGCGGCAUUGUAGGAUGAAGCGGCCCGGACCGACCUUACACGUACGCUUACGUGAGACUGGUUCCACCGACUGACAUGCACAAGUUGCAUAAGGUGGCUAGCGGGUGUCUGUCUCUCCUACUUUAGUCGGAACGGAUUCGAUGAAAAGGGUCCUUAUGAAGGGUAAAUAGAAAUUGGCAAAUCACGUUGUGGUCAUACGUAGGUAAGAAAACGUUCUUGCUAGAAACCUACAAACCACGUAAAAACUUGCAACAACAAUUAGAGGACGUCUAACUUGUUUUUGCAGCAAGUGCUAUGUGAUGUGAUAUGGCCAGAAGAUGUGAUGAAUGAUAUAUGUGAUGUAUGAGAUUGAUCAUAUUCUUGUAAUAGGAAUCACGACUUGCAUGUCGAUGAGUAUGACAACCGGCAGGAGCCAUAGGAGUUGUCUUUAUUAUUUUGUAUGACCUGCGUGUCAUUAAAUAAAUGCCAUGUAAAUUACUUUACUUUAUUGCUAAAAGCGUUAGCCAUAGAAGUAGAAGUAAUCGUUGGCGUGACGACUUCUUGAAGACACAAUGAUGGAGAUCAUGAUGAUGGAGAUCAUGGUGUCAUGCCGGUGACAAAGAUGAUCAUGGUGCCCUGAAGAUGGAGAUCAAAGGAGCAUGAUGAUAUUGGCCAUAUCAUGUCACUAUUUGAUUGCAUGUGAUGUUUAUCAUGUUUUUGCAUCUUAUUUGCUUAGAACAACGGUAGCAAGUAGGAUGUUCCCUUAUAAUAAUUUCAAGAAAGUGUUCACCCUAACUGUGCACCGUUGCGAAGGUUCGUUGUUUCGAAGCACCACGUGAUGAUCGGGUGUGAUAGAUUCUAACGUUCGAAUACAACGGGUGUUGACGAGCCUAGCAUGUAUAGACAUGGCCUCGGAACACACGCAAUACACUUAGGUUCACUUGACGAGCCUAGCAUGUACAGACAUGGCCUCGGAACACGGAGGACCGAAAGGUCGAGCAUGAGUCGUAUAGAAGAUACGAUCAACAUGGAGAUGUUCACCGAUCUUGACUAGUCCGUCUCACGUGAUGAUCGGACACGGCCUAGUCGAAUUCGGAUCAUGUUUCACUUAGAUGACUAGAGGGAUGUCUAUCUGAGUGGGAGUUCAUUAAAUAAUUUGAUUAUAUGAACUUAAUUAUCAUGAACUUAGUCUAAAUCUUUACACUAUGUAUUGUAGAUCAAAUGGCCCACGUUGUCCUCAAUUUCAACGCGUUCCUAGAGAAAACCAAGCUAAAAGAUGAUGGCAGCAACUAUACGGACUGGGUCCGGAACCUGAGGAUCAUCCUCAUAGCAGCCAAGAAAGAUUAUGUCCUAGAAGCACCGCUAGGUGAAGCACCAAUCCCUGAGAACCAAGACGUUAUGAACGCUUGGCAGCAGCGUGCUGAUGAUUACUCCCUCAUUCAGUGCGGCAUGCUUUACAGCUUAGAACCGGGUCUCCAAAAGCGUUUUGAGAAACAUGGAGCAUAUGAGAUGUUCGAGGAGCUGAAGCUGGUUUUUCAAGCUCAUGCCCGGGUCGAGAGAUAUGAUGUCUCCGACAAGUUCUUCAGCUGUAAAAUGGAGGAGAACAGUUCUGUUAGUGAGCACAUACUCAGAAUGUCUGGGUUGCACAACCGCUUGACUCAGCUGGGAGUUAAUCUCCCGGAUGACGCGGUCAUUGACAGAAUCCUCCAGUCGCUUCCACCAAGCUACAAGAGCUUUGUGAUGAACUACAAUAUGCAGGGGAUGGAAAAGACCAUUCCCGAGGUAUAUUCAAUGCUGAAAUCAGCUGAGGUAGAGAUCAGAAAAGAACAUCAAGUGUUGAUGGUGAAUAAAACCACUAAGUUCAAGAAGGGCAAGGGUAAGAAGAACUUCAAGAAGGACGGCAAGGGAUUUGCCGCGCCCGGUAAGCCAGUUACCGGGAAGAAGUCAAAGAAUGGACCCAAGCCCGAGACUGAGUGCUUUUAUUGCAAGGGAAGUGGUCACUGGAAGCGGAACUGCCCCAAAUAUUUAGCGGACAAGAAGAAGGCCGGCAACACCCAAGGUAUAUGUGAUAUACAAGUAAUCGAUGUGUACCUUACCAGUACUCGUAGUAGCUCCUGGGUAUUUGAUACCGGUGCGGUUGCUCAUAUUUGUAACUCAAAGCAGGAACUACGGAAUAAACGGAGACUGGCAAAGGACGAGGUGACGAUGCGCGUCGGGAAUGGUUCCAAGGUCGAUGUGAUCGCCGUUGGCACACUACCUCUGCAUCUACCCACGGGAUUAGUUUUAAACCUCAAUAAUUGUUAUUUAGUGCCAGCUUUGAGCAUGAACAUUGUAUCUGGAUCUCGUUUAAUUCGAGAUGGCUACUCAUUUAAAUCUGAGAAUAAUGGUUGUUCUAUUUAUUUGAGAGAUAUGUUUUAUGGUCAUGCCCCGCUGGUCAAUGGUUUAUUUUUUGAUGAAUCCCGAACGUGAUGUUACACAUGUUCAUAGUGUGAAUACCAAAAGAUGUAAAGUUGAUAACGAUAGUCCCACAUACUUGUGGCACUGCCGCCUUGGUCACAUUGGUGUCAAGCGCAUGAAGAAGCUCCAUGCAGAUGGACUUUUGGAGUCUCUUGAUUACGAAUCAUUUGACAGGUGCGAACCAUGCCUCAUGGGUAAGAUGACCAAGACUCCGUUCUCUGGAACAAUGGAGCGAGCAACCAACUUAUUGGAAAUCAUACAUACCGAUGUGUGUGGUCCAAUGAGUGUUGAGGCUCGCGGAGGAUAUCGUUAUGUUCUCACUCUCACUGAUGAUUUAAGUAGAUAUGGGUAUGUCUACCUAAUGAAACACAAGUCUGAAACCUUUGAAAAGUUCAAAGAAUUUCAGAGUGAGGUUGAGAAUCAACGUGACAGGAAAAUAAAAUUCUUACGAUCAGAUCGUGGUGGAGAAUAUUUAAGUCACGAAUUUGGUACACACUUAAGGAAAUGUGGAAUAGUUUCACAACUCACGCCGCCUGGAACACCUCAGAGAAAUGGUGUGUCCGAACGUCGUAAUCGCACUCUAUUGGAUAUGGUGCGAUCUAUGAUGUCUCUUACCGAUUUACCGCUCUCAUUUUGGGGUUAUGCUUUAGAGACUGCCGCAUUCACUUUAAAUAGGGCACCGUCUAAAUCCGUUGAGACGACACCGUAUGAAUUAUGGUUUGGGAAGAAACCUAAGCUGUCGUUUCUAAAAGUUUGGGGAUGCGAUGCUUAUGUCAAGAAACUUCAACCUGAAAAGCUCGAACCCAAAUCGGAAAAAUGCGUCUUCAUAGGAUACCCUAAGGAAACUAUUGGGUAUACCUUCUACCUCAGAUCCGAAGGCAAGAUCUUCGUUGCCAAGAACGGGUCCUUUCUAGAGAAGGAGUUUCUCUCGAAAGAAUUGAGUGGGAGGAAAGUGGAACUUGAUGAGGUGAUAGUCACCCCUUCCGAACUGGAAAGUAGCGCAGCGCGGGAAAAUGUUCCUGUGGUGCCUACACCGACUGGGGAGGAAGUUAAUGAUGAUGAUCAUGAAGCUUCAGAUCAAGUUGCUGAACUUCGUAGGUCCACAAGGACACGUUCCGCACCAGAGUGGUACGGCAACCCUGUCCUGGAAAUCAUGUUGUUGGACAACGGUGAACCUUCGAACUAUGAAGAAGCGAUGGCGGGCCCGGAUUCCGACAAAUGGCUAGAAGCCAUGAAAUCCGAGAUAGAAUCCAUGUAUGAAAACAAAGUAUGGACUUUGACUGACUUGCCCGAUGAGCGGCGAGCCAUAGAAAAAAAAUGGAUCUUUAAGAAGAAGACGGACGCAGAUGGUAAUGUGACCAUCUACAAAGCUCGACUUGUCGCUAAGGGUUAUCGACAAGUUCAAGGGGUUGACUACGAUGAGACUUUCUCACCCGUAGCGAAGCUGAAGUCCGUCCGAAUCAUGUUAGCAAUUGCCGCAUACUAUGCUUAUGAGAUAUGGCAGAUGGACGUCAAAACGGCAUUCCUUAAUGGCUUCCUUAAGGAAGAGUUGUAUAUGAUGCAGCCGGAAGGUUUUGUCGAUCCUAAGAAUGCUAACAAAGUAUGCAAGCUCCAACGCUCAAUCUAUGGGCUGGUGCAAGCAUCUCGGAGUUGGAACAUUCGCUUUGAUGAGAUGAUCAAAGCGUUUGGGUUUACACAGACUUAUGGAGAAGCCUGUGUUUACAAGAAAGUGAGUGGGAGCUCUGUAGCAUUUCUCAUAUUAUAUGUGGAUGACAUACUAUUGAUGGGAAAUGAUAUAGAAUUCUUGGAAAGUAUAAAGACCUAUUUGAAUAAGUGUUUUUCAAUGAAGGACCUUGGAGAAGCUGCUUAUAUAUUAGGCAUCAAAAUCUAUAGAGAUAGAUCAAGACGCCUCAUUGGUCUUUCACAGAGUACAUACCUUGACAAGAUAUUGAAGAAGUUCAGUAUGGAUCAGUCCAAGAAGGGGUUCUUGCCUGUAUUGCAAGGUGUGCAAUUGAGCACGGCUCAAUGCCCGACCACGGCAGAAGAUAUAGAACAGAUGAGUGUCAUCCCCUAUGCCUCGGCCAUAGGGUCUAUUAUGUAUGCCAUGCUGUGUACCAGACCUGAUAUAAACCUUGCCGUAAGUUUGGUAGGAAGGUACCAAAGUAAUCCCGGCAAGGAACACUGGACAGCGGUCAAGAAUAUCUUGAAGUACCUGAAGAGGACUAAGGAUAUGUUUCUCGUUUAUGGAGGUGACGAAGAGCUCGUCGUAAAGGGUUACGUCGACGCUAGCUUCGACACAGAUCUGGAUGACUCGAAGUCACAGACCGGAUACGUGUAUAUUUUGAAUAGAGGAGCAGUAAGCUGGUGCAGUUGCAAGCAAAGCGUCGUGGCGGGAUCUACAUGUGAAGCGGAGUACAUGGCAGCCUCAGAGGCAGCACAGGAAGCAGUCUGGAUGAAGGAGUUCAUUAUCGACCUAGGGGUGAUUCCCAAUACGUCGGGCCCAAUGACUCUCUUCUGUGACAACACUGGAGCUAUUGCCCUUGCGAAGGAGCCCAGGUUUCACAGGAAGACCAGGCAUAUCAAGCGUCGCUUCAACUCCAUUCGUGAAAGUGUUCAAAAUGGAGACAUAGAUAUUUGUAAAGUACAUACGGACCUGAAUGUAGCAGAUCCGUUGACUAAACCUCUCCCUAGAGCAAAACAUGAUCAACACCAGGACGCAAUGGGUGUUCGAUUCAUCACAAUGUAACUAGAUUAUUGACUCUAGUGCAAGUGGGAGACUGUUGGAAAUAUGCCCUAGAGGCAAUAAUAAAUGGUUAUUAUUAUAUUUCUUUGUUCAUGGUAAUUGUCUAUUAUUCAUGCUAUAAUUGUAUUGUCCGGAAAUCGUAAUACAUGUGUGAAUACAUAGACCACAACCUGUCCCUAGUAAGCCUCUAGUUGACUAGCUUGUUGAUCAACAGAUAGUCAUGGUUUCCUGACUAUGGACAUUGGAUGUCAUUGAUAACGGGAUCACAUCAUUAGGAGAAUGAUGUGAUGGACAAGACCCAAUCCUAAGCAUAGCAUAAAAGAUCGUGUAGUUUCGUUUGCUAGAGCUUUUCCAAUGUCAAGUAUCUUUUCCUUAGACCAUGAGAUCGUGCAACUCCCGGAUACCGUAGGAGUGCUUUGGGUGUGCCAAACGUCACAACGUAACUGGGUGACUAUAAAGGUGCACUACGGGUAUCUCCGAAAGUGUCUGUUGGGUUGGCACGGAUCGAGACUGGGAUUUGUCACUCCGUAUGACGGAGAGGUAUCUCUGGGCCCACUCGGUAAUGCAUCAUCAUAAUGAGCUCAAUGUGACUAAGGCGUUAGUCACGGGAUCAUGCAUUGCGGUACGAGUAAAGAGACUUGCCGGUAACGAGAUUGAACAAGGUAUUGGGAUACCGACGAUCGAAUCUCGGGCAAGUAACAUACCGAUUGACAAAGGGAAUUGCAUACGGAUUGAUUGAAUCCUCGACACCGUGGUUCAUCCGAUGAGAUCAUCGUGGAGCAUGUGGGAGCCAACAUGGGUAUCCAGAUCCCGCUGUUGGUUAUUGACCGGAGAGGCGUCUCGGUCAUGUCUGCAUGUCUCCCGAACCCGUAGGGUCUACACACUUAAGGUCCGGUAACGCUAGGGUUGUAGAGAUAUAUGUAUGCGGAAACCCGAAAGUUGUUCGGAGUCCCGGAUGAGAUCCCGAACGUCACGAGAGGUUCCGGAAUGGUCCGGAGGUGAAGAAUUAUAUAUAGGAAGUCCAGUUUCGGCCACCGGGAAAGUUUCGGGGGUUAUCGGUAUUGUACCGGGACCACCGGAAGGGUCCCGGGGGUCCACCGGGUGGGGCCACCUGUCCCGGAGGGCCCCGUGGGCUGAAAGUGGAAGGGAACCAGCCCCUAGUGGGCUGGGGCACCCCCCUUGGGCCUCCCCCCUGCGCCUAGGGUUGGGAACCCUAAGGGGGGGAGUUUUCCCUUGCCUUGGGGGGCAAGGCAACCCCUUCCCCCCUUGUGGCCGCCGCCCCCCCUUGAGAUCUCAUCUCUUGGGGCCGGNNNNNNNNNNNNNNNNNNNNNNNNNNNNNNNNNNNNNNNNNNNNNNNNNNNNNNNNNNNNNNNNNNNNNNNNNNNNNNNNNNNNNNNNNNNNNNNNNNNNNNNNNNGGAGGGAGGGCAGCACAGAACAGCCUUGGGCGCCUCCCUCCUCCCCUGCAACACCUCUCUCUCUCUCGUAGAAGCUCGGCGAAGCCCUGCACGAGACCCGCUACAUCCACCACCACGCCGUCGUGCUGCUGGAUCUCCAUCAACCUCUCCUUCCCCCUUGCUGGAUCAAGAAGGAGGAGACGUCGCUGCACCGUACGUGUGUUGAACGCGGAGGUGCCGUCCGUUCGGCACUCGGUCAUCGGUGAUUUGGAUCACGGCGAGUACGACUCCGUCAUCCACGUUCAUUGGAACGCUUCCGCUCGCGAUCUACAAGGGUAUGUAGAUGCACUCCCUUCCCCUCGUUGCUAGUACACUCCAUAGAUGCAUCUUGGUGAACGUAGGAAAAUUUUAAAAUUAUGCUAGGAUUCCCAACAAAUUCUUCCUACCCUCAGGACUUGUCCAGGAAAAAGCCUCCACAAAAAUUUGUAAAUUAAAAACAUUGCUGCCACUGCACCUACCAAAUCAUAUGGGUAAUCAAACAUCAACGAUUGGAGAAGAACUAAACGCACGGGCCACAAAUCAUUGGAACUUCAACAAAUUUUCUGCAAACUUACUGAGAUUUUGGGGCCGAGGAUGACAUUGCAGCGGGGGAGCUUCAAAUCUUCAGCAGAGGUGCUAGGGGAUGCGAUUCAAGUGGCCUCCAGCAUGGUUGCCGCCGCCAUGCUCGCUUGCUAGUGGGGGCGGCGCCGGCUGGAGCUCCUGCUCGCCGAUGAGAAGUAGCAGCAGGGGCGUCGCCGGGGAUGGAGCAGUAGGGGUAGCAGCACGUGGAUGUGUAGCAGCAGGGGCGCGGUCGAGGAUAUGGAGCAGCAGCAGCAGUGCGGUGGCUAGGGUUCUUGACGAAAGAGGAGCGGAAUGGGGAGAGGAACAAGAGGAAGAUAGGCACGGGCUGGAGUGGUGCGUGCUAACCAGAUGGAUGCAGGGGCAUUUCUAUCCAAGAGAAAGUACAGGAUGUAUACGUGAGUGUUUUUGUACAAAAAACGAGCUCAAGUGGCCGGAGUGGCAUCGACAGAAGUAUGCGAGAAGUGGAGUGGCAUUUUUCGAAGUUUGCAAAUUGGAGUGGCAUUUUUCGGAAUGGCCAAAAUUGGAGUGGCGUUUUUUGGAAAGGCCAAAAUUGGAGUGGCAUUUUUCCAAUUAACCCAAAAAUUUAUGCGGGAUUGAAUUUUGUUUGUAGAAAUCUUUUAGAUUCCACCGCGAGUGGUACUUUUAUGGAAAUUACUUUGGGUGAAGCUACCAAAUUGCUAGAUAAUACCAUGGCAAAUUAUUCACAAUGGCAUACCGAAAGAGCACCUACUAGUAAAAAAGUUUAUGCUCUUAUGAAAUUGGUUUCUAGUAAAAGUGCUCCUAUUGAUCUUAAUGAUGUGCCUUUGUCUACUUUGCUUGAGCAAAAUAGUGAUCUCGUAGAUGUGAAUUUUGUCUAGCGAAAUAAUUUUAAUAACAAUGCUUAUAGAGGUAACUUUAAUCCUAGGCCUUUCCUGGAAAUCCCUCUAAUAAUUAUGGCAAUUCCUAUGGUAAUUCUUCCUACAAUAAUAAUAGGAACCCCUCUAAUCUUGAUAAUAAUAUUAAAGAAUUUAUCAAUGUGCAAAAAGUUUUCAAAACUACAAUAGAAGAAAAUUUGAAUAAGAUUGAUGAUAUGUCUAGAAGCAUUGAUAGAAUUUCUCAUGAUGUAGAAAAUCUCAAGUUGACAACUUUUGCACCCAAGGUUGAUGAAUCAAUUAAAGCUUUAUAUGUUUCUAUGGAUGAAAGUAAGAAAAGAACCGCUAUGGUUAGAGCUAAAAUAGAAUUUUGAGAAAGAGCGUUUUCUAGUGAUUGCUUUCAUAAAAAUGAUGACGAUCUUAAAGUAAUUGGUGUUUCUUCUAAUUAUUCCUUGUUUAGUAAAAUUAAAAUUGAUGAUAAAGGGACCGAAGAAGAGUCAACUUUAGCUAGAAGGCGUCCCGAUAAUUUGGAGGGUGAAAAUCUUGAUGAAAAAAUUGAUAAAAGUGGGUUUGGAGAGGUCAAAACUUUAACUAGUGAUGUACCCACUCUUUUGUAUUCCAAAGACUUUAAUUAUGAUAGUUGCUCUUUGGUUGAAUAUAUUUCUUUGUUGCAAUCCAUGAUAAAUUCACCCCAUGCUUAUGAGCAAAACAAAGCUUUUACUAAACAUAUUGUUGAUGCCAUGAUGAAAGCUGAUGAAGAAAAGUUGGAAUUAAAGAUUUCAAUUCCUAGAAAAUUACAUGUUGAAUGGGAACCCACCAUUAAAGUAAAGGUAAAAAAUUAUGAGUGCUUUGCUUUAUGUGAUUUGGGUGCUAGUGUUUCCACAAUUCUGAAAUCUCUAUGUGAUGUGCUUGGUCUUACUAAUAUUGAAGAGUGUUCUUUAAAUUUGCACUUGGCGGAUUCUACUAUUAAAAAGCCUUUGGGAAGAAUUAAUGAUGUUCUUAUUCUAGUAAAUAUGAAUUAUGCGCCCAUAGAUUUUAUUGUUCUUGAUAUUGAUUGCAAUCCUCUUGUCCAAUUAUACUUGGUAGACCGUUUUUACGCGCUAUAGGCACUAUUCAAGAUAUCUCCCGAUAUUCUGAUAAAUCGGCCGAUUUAUCGCUUAUCGUUGUCUGACCGAUAAGAUAAAUCGGCUGAUAAAUCGGCGGAUAUGCCGAUAAAAUGGCCAAUUUACCCCUUAUCAUGGGUCGACCGAUAAGUUCCUGAUAAGCGAUAUCCCCAACAUUGGCUAUAGGUGCCGUGAUUGAUAUGAAAGAAGGCAAUAUUAAAUUCCAACUUCCCACUAAGAAAGGGUAUGGAACACUUCCCUAGAACAAGAAUUAGGCCACCAUAUGAAUCAAUCAUGAGGGCAACCUAUGGAUCAAAAACUAAAGAUGACAAUACUUGAAUCUAUGAAUUAUGCCUAGCUAGGGGCAUAAAAUGAUAGCGCUUACUGGUAGGCAACCCAAUAAAUAAAAAUUAUUUUUUUCUUUUUUCUUUAUGUUCUUGAGUGUUUGCACAAUUAUUCCACUGUUAUGAUUGUGUUUUUUAUGUUUUAGUUAGUGUUUGUGCCAAGCCUUUGGGAUCAUAUUGGGUGAUAGUUGAUUUGAUCUUGUUGAAAAACAGAAACUUUUGCUUCUAGUAGCAGAAUUUUGUAAAAACACAGAAGCGACGAAAAAUUCUGAAUUUUUUAUGAAAGAUUGAUAUACAAAUUUCCAACUUUGUCCUAAUUUUUCAAAAAUAUUGGAGUUACAAAAGUAUGGUUAGAGUACAGAUUACUACAGACUAUUCUAUUUUUGACAUAUUCUGUUUUCGUUGCAUUGUGUGCUUAUUUUGAUGAAUCUAUGGAUUGUAUCGGGGGGUAUAAGCCAUGGUAAAGUUGGAAUAAAGUAGGUAUAAUGCAAUAAUAAAAUAUGAAUGGGUUUGCAACAGUACUUAGAGUGGUGAUUUGCUUUAUAAUACUAACGGCUCUCAUGAAGGUUUUGUUAAGUUUUGUGUGAUUGAAGUGUUCAAGUUUUAGGUGAGAUCACGAUGGAUGAAGGAAUAAGGAUUAAGAAGAGCCUAAGCUUGGGGAUGCCCAUGGCACCCCAAGUUAAUAUUCAAGGAGAACCAAGCAGGGGCAUCCCCUCUUUCUUCUAACGACCAUCGGUAUUUUACUUGGAGCUAUAUUUUUAUUCGUCACAUAUCAUGUGUUUUGCUUGGAGCGUCCUGUAUUAUACGAGUCUUUGCUUGUUUUGCUUUCGGUUUGUCACAAGUAUCCUUGCUGGACACACCUAUUUGAUAGAGCCAAAAUUAUGCUAUGAUUUAUUAGAAUUUAUCUUUAUGCUUCACUUAAAUUUUUUGAGCUAUGGAAUUGCUCUAGUGCUUCCCUUAUAUCUUUUUGAGCACAGUGUGUUUAAUAUGUUUGAAGAAAUACUCUCAUGCUUCACUUAGAUUUAUUUGAGAGUUAGUAAUUCUAAAUAAAUUCUCUCAUGCUUCACUUAUAUUAUUUUGAGAUAUGAAAAUCUUUAUGCUCAUGUUCUUCACUUAAAUUUAUUUUGAGCUUGUCAAAAGCAAUUGCAAUAUAUGAAACUAGUCCCAAAGUGAUAAAUAUUCAAGAGGGAUAUAAUAAAAACUUUCAUGAAGAUCAUUGGACAAAUUAAACUUGAUUCCUUGUAAUAGUUUUGAGAUAUGAUGAUAGUGAUAUGUGAGUCAUGUUGGUGAGUAAUUAUGCUUUAGUAAGAAUAUUGGUGUUAAGGUUUGUGAUUCCCUAUGCAAGCACGAAAGUCAAUAGUUAUGCAAUGAAAUUACAUCCUACUUGCGGUGCAUUAUUCGGUGCCCAAUGUCAGAUCAUGUUUUCUUCAUGUUUUUGGUUUUGCAGGAAACCAAUAUCUAGGGAGGUCAAAUUACAAUGCCAAUUAAACACGGUUUUUUUCGGGCGACGAAGGACCCAUGAAGCUUCGAGAAGGAACGAGAGGAGCCAUAGGGGGCCACACGGCCAUGUGGCGCGCCCCAGGCCUAGGGUGCACCACUAGGGCAUGUGGGGCCCACCUGCACUGCCUUACAUUGAUUUCACCUCCAUAUAAUCGUAUAAGUACUGAAACAUUCCGCCAUAUUUUUAGAGACAUUUUACUACCACCAUAAGUUCCUAUUUCACACAGAUCCAAUCUGGGGGCCUGUCCAGAGCUCUGCCGGAGGAGGAAUCCAUUGCUGGAGACUUCUUCAUCAACCUUGCUACCCCCAUGACUAUGUGUGAGUAGUUCUUACUAGGACCUUGGGGUCCAUAGUAGUAGCUAGAUGACUCUCUCUUCUCUCUCUCUCUCUCUCUCUCUCUCUCUCUUUCUCUCUCUCGUUUGGAUUUUCAAUACCAUGUUCUAGUGAGCUGCCUUACAUGAUUAGGAUCAAUUUGAUGUAAUUCUUCGGUGUGUUUGUUGGAUAUGAUGAACUGUCACUUUAUGAUCAGAUUGUUCAUUGAAAUCAAUUGAAAUUUUGAGGUUUCCUUGCAUGCUCCUCGAUCUAUCUAUCUUCUCUGGCCAAGUUAGAUGGGUUUUUCUUCAGAGGGGUGGUGCAUUGUAGUGGGUUAAAUCUUGUGGUUCUCUAACCCAGUGACAAUAAGGGCCAAGACAUGUAUUGUGUUGUUGUCACUAAGGAUAGAAUGGUGGUGUCUCAUCAUAUUGUUGAUGUUCUACUGUCUACAUACUAUCUACAAAUUGAAGUGAAAUGGAAUGAACCACCAGAAGUAGUCGUAAUACCUAUCGAUGGUCGAGGACGUCGACUUGCGGCAACCAGUGGCAGGAACGUUGAGUAGGAGCCACAAGAAAGUAGAUCUAGAUCGCAGCAGAAAGGAAGAAGACCAGGGAAAGAGACUAAGCAAAAAGAAGAUACGAUAUGUGUCCAGUCUGCAACCCAAAAUAAAUGUUGGGUAACUCGGAGUACCUAGUUGGAUACGCCCACGAAUAAAAUAUAAUGCCCAGGCUAGCACGUUUCAGAAAGCAGAACACAAAAUAUUACAGUAUAAAUUUCUUCCAAAAGAACUUGAUUGAACAAACAGCGUUAACCAUAGGAGCCCAAAUGAAAUCAAAGCUUAGGGAAGUCAUUAUAGUUGGAAGAACGAAAUGUGUUAAAGAAUUACUUAUUUACCAAACUCACCAGACAGUUUCAUAAGUUCAGAUUUGGUCAUACAAGUACUGCUUUCUUGAAUGUAAAGAUAGAUUUCUCAUAGAUGAUAGCAUGCAUCGCAAGGCGGUAAAAAGUAGCGAAAAACACAAUGUAUAGUAUUCAUGGAAAAGGAUGGAAUGAACUUGGGAAAGGACAUAAGAGGAUGAACUGAUGAGUAUAAAUAAAAUAAGACUCCAUUCAUUCCCUUAUACAAGGCCACUUCAUAUUUUUAUAUCUAACUUUGACCGUUACUUUUACCAAUAGAAAUGGUAGUAUGCCACAAAAAGUAUGUUAUUGGACGCACAUUUGAAAGAACUUUGCAAUGAUAUAUUUUUUAUAACAUAUAAUCUAUAUUUUGUUGACCCAGAUUAUAAGUUAAAGUUUGACACGAAAAACGAAGUGACCUUUUAUAAGGGAAUGUAGGGAGUAAAUGAAAUAGAAGAAGAAGCAAUAGCGAAUGAAGACAAUUAGAAGGCUGAAAGGAAAACACGGCUAUAUGAAUGGACAAGCAGUAGAAGAACAUGUGAACACCGAAGAAGAUGAAUAGUACUCUCUCCAUCCAAAAAAAUUUGUCCCAAGCUUGUCCUUCAAAUGGAUGUAUCUUGCACUAACCUGGUGUUAGAUACAUUCAUCUGAGAGACAAGCUUUUUCAGACGAAAGGGGUAUGAAAUAACUGUUAAAACGGAACGGGGCGACGGAGCAUAAGAGACACGGCCAUAAAAGUACAUGUGAAGGAUAUAUUUGUACAGAAAAAUCAUGUAUAUUGUCUCGUAUUCACACAUUUAAGAAUUUCCUUCCAUUUUUCAAUGAAUUUCCGUGAAAGACACGUGCACAGAUCACAACGCACAUCAAUGGCGGCAGCCGUUUCCGCAGGUGCGGGCCCCUAUGAAUUUUCAUGGUAUUGUAUUGACUCCAAACAAAAGAUGGUUAGCCACCCGGUAACGUGUGAGAAUUGAAGUUGUGCUCAUUGACCCAAUUCAUCUAGCAUGAUUGUGUAACAGCAGUGCUAUACACACAACACAAUGCACACGAUUCAUGCACGAUACUUAAAUCCAGCCGGACAUGCACAUGAUUGAGAAGGGCACCAGCGACUGGAUUAGCACGUCUUGCAUAGAUUGGGCAGCACGGUCGUCUGGGUAGCAGUUUCGAUUGUGUAAUGAGUUUCUUAUUGAAUCAUGAGGACCCACUAUAUUGCCUUAUCCUGAUCUGCAUUUUGUGCCAACACUCAGACCACAACCGUUACACUUAUUGAAUUUUAUUUUAUUUGAAAAUAUGGUCCAAAAAAUCUGAAAUUUGGUAUGGUGUCAUAAUAUGGUUGUCGUAUUCUUUUAGCCAACUUGAGGCAACUUGUAUGCAUUAACUGACCUCGUAGGCAUUUUCAAUAUCGCCCAUAAUUAGCCCCCUAUGUGUGUAUCUCACGGUUCCAAUCGCGGCCAUGUCAUGAAGGACUAAUUUGGAAUGCAGCUGAUCAUGCUCAAAAGUCUACCAUGGUUCAUCCGUUCAUUAAUUUACAAACAGUUCACUCAAAAUAAACAUGAACACCAUGCAUGCAUACAAACACCGCACCACCACGGUUGUUGUGAUGAUCUUGGUCUCCUAAGGAGGCAAAGGAGCUCGACAAGCCGAAGACCUCCACCAGGUGCGCGCCGACAACCAUUCGGGCUGUCUUGGCCGCAGGGGCCGCCGCUAUCGCCAAGGCUGUGUAAGUCAUCAUCGCGCUCUUGCCAAGGCUGCCGCCAGGUGAGAACAAAUGAUUAUGAGGUAGCAUCUUCCUGAAAUUUUUACCAUAGAGAAGUGUUAGAGUAGAUAGCUUACAUUAUUUUAAGAUCUAUCAACACGUUAUAAUGUGUGAUGUCCUAUAGUUAUAAUAUUUCUUAAAGAAACAAUACAAAGUAAAACUUACAGUUUUCUAGCUAUAUGAUGCUUGUAUUGACUUAUAAUGUCGUAUCUAGAGGAUACAAGUAUCAUAAUUACAUAUCCGGCAUCUGCAUAACUAUAAUAUAUAUAACCAACAUAAACAUACACGCAGAAAAGAAAAUGUGAUCUCGAUAAGCCGCAACCACCUUCGGUUGUGCGGCUCACGAACGAUAUCAAAGACGACGCUAGACCUUGGGCUCGCGCUGGGGCCAAGGCGCCUGGCUAGCUGAUCACCGAGACGUAGGUUUGGUAGUUGGGCCGCGCUUGCCCUUCUCAUGCGCUCUUCUAUGCCUUGCACGCCGCCUGGGUGUUCGUCCUUGCGAGGCUGUUUUUAUAAUGACUGCUAUAAAUCCUCUUCUAUCAACACAAUAAUACAAAAGUCUAUUGUGUAUUCGCGAGAAAAAAAAAGGCACAACCACCACCGAUAAGCCACACUAGGCAGUAGCGACGACGCAAGCAUAUUUUGCCACUUGCCCUAGCCGCCCAAGUGGAUGUACGCUUUUGAACAUCGCCCGCCCAAUGAGGUUAUGAUCUAGUUCUAGAUUAAUGCAAACCCAACUGCCCAAACAAAUCGACCAAUGUAUAUCGGGAAAUCGCAUUGGAUCACUCGUUGUCAGAAGUAGUAUGCAUAUGUACUGGAAAUAAAAGGAAAUUGUACCACUUGUAGCUAGCAAGUAAUGAACUCAUGAUACAUGCAUCUAUUUUAUUUUUUUCCGGCAUCUUCUUGCGAAUCCUUGAAAUAGAUACCCAUGCAGUUCAAAAAAAAAAAGAUAGCCAUGCACUCUUUCCACGUCCCCAGGCUACAAAUACCCGUCAAAUUCCAGCACUCUUCAUCCAUCUCGAGCCAGCUACUAGCUAGCCAUGGCAUCUUCCAAGAGUAGUCUUGCAAUGUUUGCACUGGCCAUAGUCAUGGCCGUGGUGGCUGACGUCUCGGCGCAGAACACCCCGCAGGACUUCGUCAACCUGCACAACCGCGCCCGCGCCGUGGACGGCGUCGGCCCCGUGGCAUGGGACAACAACGUGGCCAGGUUUGCGCAGGACUGGGCGGCGCAGCGCGCCGGCG
rnacentral:lncRNA from 1 species